AAAAGCUACAAAUGAAAACGAAUAAAAUUUUACAUUUUUUUCACAUUUUUCGUUAUUAUCAUUAUUAUUCUUUUUUCAUUUUAUAAAGGUAUUAAAAGAAAAUAUAGGUAUAAAAAAAAAAUCAAAGAACAAAAGAAAAAUGCUACUGGAGUUUCAUCAAACCACCUUUAUCGCAACAACCUAAAAAUCUUCUAAUUCUUUACUUAUUCACAAAACUCAAAAUAUUAAUCUUCGAAUAAAAACAAAUCACACAGAUUAGAGGGACGGUAGACUCCACUCUUUUGAACCCAUUCACACAAACAACCAAACCCAAAAUCGAAAGACGCCCACCUUCCAUCAUCCUAAUUCCUAUAGCACUAUUGUUGAUGCAUCAAUUUGAAAAGGAUUUUGACAAAGUUCACUAUGGCUAUUGUUUCUUCAUUUCUCUUUCUCCUUCUUUUCCUAACUCUUUUUUCUUCAAAAUUCGUCACUGCUGAAAGUAGCUUUAAAAACCCACUUGCACAAACAAACAAUAUCGUUAAUUCUACCUUCUUUUGUUAAUUUCAACAAAAUUUAAUACUCAUUGUUAUAUUUUAUUUUGCAUGUGAAUUUCACCCAGUAUUUUCAAUCUCCUAAUAGAUGAUUGGUUGUUUUGGGUUUUGGAUUUUAUAGAUUCUAAUUUUUGGGUUUUGGAUUCUAAUAUGUAGAAAUUAAGUUUUAAUUUUGAUUUAAAGUGAGAUUAGAUUUGAAUAAUGGUUGUAUGGUUGUCACACGUACAUGAAAGGAAAGAAAAAAAUGAAGAAAAAGACAAAGGAGUAAGGAUGAGAAAAAAAUAAAUAAAAGGAAAAGACGAAGAAGGAAUAAGGAUGACAAAAAAAGAAAAGUCGAGAACUAAGGUGACAUUUUUUUUUAACUUAAUGACUUAAAGUGACUUAACUUAAUUAAUUAAGUUAAUUAGAGAUGUUUGUUUUUAUAACUUAAUGAGACUGUUUAGAUAAUUUUGACUUAAUAAAAUAAGCUAAUUUUUUUUGCUUUUUACUUAAUGGAGAAAUAUAAAUUAAGUCAAUUACUUGCUAAUGUAAAAAAUAUCCCUGUUUUAUAAUUUAUUUUUCAUGUCUACCCCAAAAUUCACCCAUAGAUAUUUACCCCACAUAAAAAUAUCUCAUUUUUUAUUUCUUAUAUUGUAUACGAUAAAAUUUAAAAUUCUAAAAUAAUUAUGUAUUCACUUGAAUAUAGUUUUACUUAUAAAUGUUAAAAUAUUGUGGUAUUUAAUAUAUUAUUUAUUUGAUAUUUAAAUUUAAUAAAGAUACGAAUGUAAAAGUACAUAUUUUCAGCGUUUUAAGUUGAAAAAAACAAAUAACUUAAUCCUUAUUUUCUGAGAUUCAGACGAAAAAACAAACAUAUUAUUCAGAUUCAGACAUUCAGACUUAUUCAGAAUUCACACUAAUUCAGAUCUAUUCAGAUAAAAAAAUAAACGCCACCCAAGUCAUUUCAAUAGCUAUUUUUUAAUUUCUCCUUCAUUGUUUGUGUAUUAAUAUUUUAAUAGUUAGCUUUUUCAUUUUCCAAUGAUUAGUCAUACAUCAAUUAUUUUUUUUAGCCUCACAAUAUUGUUAUAAGAAUAUUCUGUUAAGGUCGGGAUACUUUCAUACUUUUAUAAGUCAACAGUGAUUAAUAGUUAAAGAUAACGAGUUUUAAGGGAUAAUUUGGUGUUUUCAAUAAUAAAAGGGACAAUUUAAAUAUUGUCGCUUUAGGAGAGGAGUAAGCCGAUAUUAACCCUUAAUUAAAGGAUAGAGCAAGGCAUUGAAUUGCGAUGAUAAUUUGCAUACAAUAGAAAUAUUUUAUGUUAGAUCAAUAUAUUUUAAUAUUUGUUUUAGUGUUGAAAUUUAAUUUCUUAUUCACAUUCAUAAUAUUUAAAAUUGAAUACUACGUGCGAAUUUUUUAGGCUAUAAUUAUAAAUUUAUAACUUGAAUUAUAUAAUUUAAAUUUUUAUGUAUUAUUAAAAAUUCAUUGUAGAUUGUCGAUGGACUUAGUAAUUUGAAGUUUUUGUGGGUGCAUGUUUAAUAAUGGCAAAUCCACCCACUGCUAUCCCUAAAAAAGCGAAAACCUGCAAAAAAAAAAAAAAAUGACCACACGCAAAUUCUUCAUAUAAAAACAACUAUAAAAGAUGUCAAAAUCUUUAUGAUUAUCCCAAUUCAUUAUCAAAAGACCAAAUUAUCCAUACCUUAGUACUUGCACACUUCCUUCAACUUUGGUCUUUCUCUCUCCUUACCCAUAGAAUUAUUAUAAAUUUUAAUAAGUAUGGGAAAUGAUAAUAGUUCUCAAAUUAUUAUAAAUUUCAAUUUAUUUUUAUUUUUGUUCAAAAGAUAAGGAAACGGUAAGAGUGCAUUGAUAAUUUUUUUUAAUCUUUUUAACAAAAGCAAAAGAUAAAUUGAGAUCCGCAAAAAUUUAAAUAACAGUCUAAAGAUUUUCAUUUUAUAAAGAAAGUAACCGAAAAUUAACCCUUAAAAAUCUCAAUUCAAUAUUCAUUUAUGGAACGACAGAAUAUAUGAAUGCUACAAAUAUGUCGAGACUCAACAGUUGUAAAUCCCUAAUAUUUUUAUAUAUGAAUGCCAUACAAAUUUGGAGUCCUUGAUUUUCAAAUUUUCAACAUUUGGUGGUUCCUCAGAAAAGGUGAGAAAUUCCAUUGAAAACCAAAACUUUCAAAAUUAAGCCUUAUAUAUAUCUAAUAACUAUCCUUUAUAAUUUUAUUUUAUCAGAAAAAUCUGCAAUGCGAUCUUGCCCAAAUAUCUAUUGCACACAAACACAAUUGCUAUAAUUUCACUUNNNNNNNNNNNNNNNNNNNNNNNNNNNNNNNNNNNNNNNNNNNNNNNNNNNNNNNNNNNNNNNNNNNNNNNNNNNNNNNNNNNNNNNNNNNNNNNNNNNNGGAAUUUUUUUUUUUUGGGGGGGUGGGGGGGGGGUAAGCGUUUGCACUGCUUUAUGCACACAUAGUACCCCUCUAAAGUCUUCUAGUAGUUAGUAGAUGCACACAUAGUCCCCUAGUACCAUCAUAUAAGGAGGGACUGGCAUUAGUAGAAAGGUCUCUCUUCUCUAUGUACACCAUUCCCUGUUUCCUAAAGAAAUAUGUAAGAUUACCCACUUGCCCAGAAAGUUUAUGGACUCCAAAAGGAACAAACAUAUCCAGUGUUUAAUUUAAAGCAGAAAGGCAUCCGUCCAAACUUAUUACAUCUUGCCAUUCCUAAAGCACACACAUCAAAAUUUAAACAAAUAGUACUUUUAUGCAAAGUCAUGAAUUCCCAAUGGCAAUAAGUAACUUUUAUUGCAAGACUGUGAAUGUUUCUUAAUGGGAACUAAUUCUUAUUCCACCAUCAGGACAAGUACAUAACUGCAUAAAGGCAUUUGCAUUACACAAUAAUAUGAUGAUAGCUGUAUAUCUAAAUGAUAAAAGGGCAUGCCAUUACAGCUCAUUCUCAUAUAGAAAACACAAAUAGUAGACUUAAAGAAUUACCAUCGUCCAUUCAUCAACUCUAUGCACUUUUGAGCAUCCUUCCUAUCCUUAAAUCUUACUAAAACAACACCCUGUGGAUGAUUCUCGCAAACCUGAAAGCAAAACCAAUACAAACCAAUAGAUGAGUAAAUGAGUCUGCAAAGUUAUCAGAAGCAGAACCCUCUCAAAAAUAAAGAUAUUUUUCACAACCUUCCAAGGACAUCAGAGCAAAAUCUAAAUGGCAGUCCAAAUGCCAAAACCAUAGCUAGGCAACAGAGAAAUUUUGGAAGAUACCAAGCAUGUGAAUACAACAAUUUCACCGAGGGGGAAGAAAAGAAAAUCCACUUAAUUCUUGAAAAUAAUGAGAGAAAUGAUUUGAAAAUCCUUAGAAUGAUUGAAGGAUCAGGAGCAACGUCUUAGUUACACAGGAAGAAGGAAGAUGCAACAUAAAGGAGAAGAAAGAUGAGGAAUAAAGAAUUACCAAGGAAUGUCGAAUAAGAAACUACAGUUUCUAAACUAAUUUAGCUCUAAGCCCCAUGCCUGGAUGAAGAAUAACCAAGUCCGGUGAAAAUACUAAAGAAGACACAGUUCAAGAGAGAACAGCAAAUGGCCUUAGAAGAUUCAACAAGAUGAAGUUAGAAAGUAGUCCGCUGAAUUAAUUUUAGGAAAAUAAAGGCCAUCCACACAUUGAUGACUCAUAUUUGACUAAGAAUUCAAGAAACAUUUCAAAAAAUGAGCCAUAACAACACCUGAAAGUUGAAAGUACAAGCCAACAACUGAACAUCAAAUUGUGAAAUUGUUAGUCAUAUAGCCACUUUAUCAAAUGACUUGAGGGAGACCCAUAAACUCUAAAAGAAAGAUAAUGAGAAUGCAAUUUAUUUCCACAUUUAAUUUCAUUACCUUGACUGAAUCCACCGGACCAAUCUUUACACAUUCCUCUUGAACAUCAGCCUCCAACUCUGAUCGUAGAUUUUCAUCAGCCUAUCAAGAUAGGAGAAUGUCAAUCAAGGGUGACAUUGGAAUAUCAUCUGAAAGUUUCACUGCUGAUAUUACAUUGCAAACAACCAAAUUAAAUGAGGAACACGGGUGACGACUCUUAAGAGUGACAACAUAUGCUGGAAAAUCAACAGAGAAAAAAGAGAAAUCAAUUCUUAUGUGCCCUCAUUACAUACUAGUUCAUUGACUAAUAUAAUUCUACCAUAUCGGCCUCAACAAGAUAAUGCAGCCUACCAUAAAGUAAGGGAUCUAAAAAAAUUCAGAAGCUCAAACGAGAAAUUCUUAGAAAAGCUAUUCGUCAACAACACUUUUGAUUGUUUGGGAAAACAUAUACCAAAAUUGUAACUCAAGUCAAAUGAUGACUCAGCUAAUCCACCAAGACUAGCUGCAUGCUCUCUCUCUCCCUAAAUCUUGGAAAACAGAAAUAAUGUCUAUGAACAAGGUUUUCUAAUACAGGAGUCUGGGGAAAGAAAAAUAGCACACUAGGGAAACAUAAUUACUUCAAUUCAGAUUCAAUAGUAGAGGACAUAAUUCAGUCUUUGCCACAUGAUAAUUACACAACAUACAGAAGUGUAAUCCAUUAAAUACAGUAGAAGCUCAAUAAAUUAAUAAACUCGGUUAGAUAAUAGUUUUUUCUGGUCCUGACUUGGUGCCAACAUGGUAAAUUAUUAACUCGAUAAAAUUAGACGAUAAUAUUUUUUUUUAAAAAUCCUAUUUUCCUAUAGGGCCCACUUACUAUAUAAAUAAAUCCACAUGACAUACCAUGUGACUUCUUUAAAAUAUGUUCAUAAUAUUGUUUGCUAUUUUUUAAAGUUGAUUUGAAAUUAAAUCUCAUCUCUAACUUUUUUUAUAAUGCAAAAUUCCAGUAUGCAAGCGUGAGACAAAUUCCAUAUGUCAUCUUUAAUAUAGAAAAACAGAAACUCCACGAUGAUAAUCUAAUCACUACCAAUCUAAGGCAACUAACUACUAUUCAAAAAAACACAUAAUAAAUAUUAAAUCAAGGUAAGUAAAUACUAUAAACAAGAUCAUAUUUAAGGAAUUUCUUCAUAAAAUAAAUAAUUUAUUAAUUAAUCAAUAUACUAAUAUUUGCUAAAUUAAUAGAUUUUUCAUGGACCCAAUACUAUUAAUUUAUCGGUUUUGCUGUAUACCCAUAAGAGGGAACAUGGGUGUAAAAGACUGAUGGUUACAAAUGAUGCUAUGAUGCGUCCACGGGAGACCAAACACUCAUAGGGUGACCAGCAAACAAAACAGAAUGUUCAACACUCACCCUCAUCUCAGCAGGAGUGAACAUAAAACGAAGAAUGACAGUAGCAGGAAUUGUCAAUUUUGCAUCAUCUCGGCCACCUGUGCCAUUUAGAGGGAAUGUUUGUUGGCAGUGCACGAUACAAAAGCAAAAAAAUGCAGAAAUUUGGGAUAAAAUAAAUUGUCAUGAAAAGCUACAUGUUUGGCAACACAUGUUGAAAAAGCAAGUGAAAUCAUUAUAAUAGUAAUACUUGAUAUCUUCAAGGUUCCAGACACAUGCAAUUAAGAGACACAAGCUAUCAAACUUUAUACCUUACAUGCAUACAGACGCUGCAGAUUCAUAUGAUCAACAACUUUAAAAUUUUUAUUUAUUUAAAAUAGAUCAUGCAUAAAUUAUCUAAAGAAAGAAGAUUGUACACACGCUGAUCAUAAAAUAGACAUAUGUAUACCCUAUAUGAUGGAUGAAAACAGGAUAUACCACAUCUGAUAGCAUAUGCUAUUUCUAUAAACAUCUCCAUGUAAUGUCGAAAGAUAUACAUCUUACAUUUCCAAGUAAUUUGAAAAGAUUCAACACCUCUAAACUUCAGUCCAAAUGAUCUACAAUGGAGAAAAUAGAUAUAGCAAAUAACAAUAUCUACCAUUUCUAUCUAAAUAACUAAUAUUAUUCAGACAUCAGAACUAAAAUAAGCUACUGCAUAUUGUUGAUAGCAAAACACAGUCUAGAAUAAACAGGAUAGUGAUCCAAGUAAAAUUGAAAAACACAACACUAUCAUGAAAUCUAAAAUCAUCAACGCUAGACAGCAACAAAAGAUACAGCAUGUCUCAGAAAAAAAUUAUGACUGCGAGGGAGGUCUCUAAUGAAUUUUAGAGGAGCUAUGGAAUUGCCCUCCCCGCCGCCAACAAAAUGAAAAUGUAAGAUUAGAAACCUACCCCAGCCAAGCAUCUUCUCUUCAACCUUCUUCAGUUUCUUUUUCUUCUUGCUGUCAACUUGUUUAGCUAUGAACCUCUCCCCUGCAUUUAGCAUUACGCAAAAUUGUUAUUACAACUAUGAAACCUAUCAGUACUCGUGCAUUCAAACCAGCACAGAGAGAUGUUAUGUAUUCUUAUAAAGAAGCAAACAAUGUGUUAUAUAUUCCAAAACAUAAGCAAACCAUAAUUAAUCAUCCCUUGCCAUAAUCCAUAAAAGAAAAACCAGACAUGAACAAAAUUAUUGAUACCUUUCUGCUCAAACUUAGCUUGUGUGACUGACAUAGGGAUCUUCCCAUCGGGGCGAAAAGGAGUACCAUCCAAAAGUUGAGUAGCCAGAGCAACUGAGGGUUCCUAGUAGAAACAUAUAUCAUAUGUAAUACACAUACUUAGAUAUAAGAACCUGAAAAAGUUAUACGACAGAAGGACAGCACACAGGAAAGAAAGUACCUUGAGAUAUGUAACAAGUGCAUCACCCUUCUUCAUUCCUGUCUCUUUAUCAACAUAGAUCUUAAUACGAGGUUUCUUGGUUUCAGGAUCCUACAAAUAUGACCACACAUACUCAGGACAUCCACAGUAUAAAAUGCUUAAGAUUUAGAAAUGAAAUAACUAAAAUAUGGCAUAAUGUAGACAUACAAGGUAGGUCAGGAGUUUAAAACAUCUGGUAGCUGUUAGUUGGUUCAAUUGGUAAAACCUGUUAGGAUCGGACUGGAGAUUUAGGGUUUGAACCUUGCUCACAUUGGUGGAGAGGGGGUUUGGUUUGCAUUCAAACAACUCUUGGAGGGAAAAAGAAAAAGAAAAAAGAGUUCAAAACGUCUGAACUCCACAUAAAAGAGAAUUAAAAGAAUAACCAGAAUAUUUCAGUUCUUGUUCUCUUAUGUAUCAGUUUUUACUAUUUUCAGUCUCUUUUGUGAAAGAAACCACCAGCUAUGUUGAGUCAUAUAAUCACUGAAUCUUUUAUACUAGUUAAAAAUUUGAUCAGACAACAUAAUUCAAUUAAUACUUUAAACCUAAUUCAGCUAAUGAUGGUAAAAAGUUUGAUCUGCAAGACAAGCAUAGACACUUUGUCCUUUCAUAGAUAUAUGCGCAAUAAGUACAAGCCGAUUACCACUCAGGCUCCUGAACAAGGCAUCAUAUCAAGAAAUUUUUGUGCAAGAUGAUUAUUUCAUUUUUGAAUAUUAAUAUGUGCAAGACAAAUUUUGGAUAGCUGGCAAUCUACCUCUUUGAUUAUUCCACACUUGGAAAAUACCUCCACCAUCUGCAAUGUAACUCCAAGAUUAGUAAUGCAAAAAGAAAAAAUUGAUACUAAGGAUGAGACAGUGACCAUCGACUUACUUCCUCAACAGUGACAUCAUCUGGCAACCCAGUCACAUAAACAUGUGUAUUGACUUUUAACUCAAACCAAGAAUCAGGAGGUUUAUUAGCUUCCUGUGAAAAAGCAACAGGCUUAGUACAAAAUCAUAUAUGUAAAUAACUGUGGCAUCUCUAUUUUGGGAAACAGAAACACAUUAUAAAGGUCUACAGAACCAAUCAGACACUUUUCUAUCUUUCGAUCUACUCAAUAAUAAAAGGCUCAUACUGGACUACUAACCCUAGAACAUUGGGAGAGGGCAUCAUAAUCAGAAGAAAAAGAAAAUCUUGCAACACAAGACUUAUCUUAUCUAUGGUGCUCCUAUAGAGAGAGACCAAUUAGUGAAGCUUCAAAGCAGAAAAUAAAGUACACGAAGGUAACAGUUAAGGCUAUCCUCAUUUCCAAUCCUAAUUCAUAAAUAUUAGUUAAGGAAUAAAGGGCAAAUGGCGAAAACCUUCUUCUCCACUUGCUUGUCCGGCUGUUUUCUCUUGCCAUUAUGUUUUUCUUCCACCACAUUGUCCGCACUAUUAACUUUUUCCUCUGUGCUAUUAAGUUUUUCCUUCCCAACUUCAUCAUUCGCCAAGUCAUCUGUUACAUUUACUGUAGGAAAGACUUCUUCUUCUUUCAGGAAAGUCAUCUCUUCUAUCCCAUAUCCAUCAUUUUGGCUCGAUGUGUCCUCCUAUCACAUAAAAGCCAGUCUAUUUGAUAACUAAAAAAAGAAAAAUAUGACAAAACAGUGACAAUUUUUAGACAAGGAGCAUGAGAACAUGUAAAGGGACAGAAACAAGUCGAAAAUUAUAUUUAAAAAUCAUCAAAUCUCAGACAACAACAUACUAAUAAAGUGACAGAAUUCGGAGUAAAGAAGGAAUAAGUACGUUAAAAAAAAAAAAAAAAAAAAAAACGACCGAAGAAGAAGAUCAUGUGUCAGUCCUUAGAACCUCAACUCAUUUAAGAUCAUGUGUCAGUCCUUAGAACCUCAACUCAUUUAUCUUUCUAAAAUUUGAUGGAAUUAAAAUUAAUGAGCUCUAACACAAACCAACAGCACAAACCUGAGGAACCCAUGCUCUAAGACCCCUAUCCCACUUGUACCUCGUACCAUCAUCAUCAGUGAAUUCAUCCUCCCCCUCUGGAGAUGCUGGAACCCCAUCAUGAUCAUCACGGCCCAUGUAACCCCCAACACUGUCAGAAGCAGAUCCAUUUUUCAAUCUUUCUGCCUCUAUCUCAGCCUCUCUAACCUCCCUCUGCCAUUUCUCAAACUCAUCAUCAACAUGUGAAGGCACUGUGUAAACAUCACAGGGUAAACACCAUUUCCCCAAAAAAAAAAGUGCUAGUAAGUUACAUUGAAUUAAAAGAAAAACAGUACAGUAAAAAAGAAAAGAAACAUAGUAUUACCUCCCUGCUCAGCACUGGAAAAUGAUUGACUUUGCAUCCCUGCAGCUUCCUCGAUCUGCUCUCUCACCUCCUCAAUGCCAUCGUUGCAAGGCACUGCGUACAAACAUCAAAGUAAAACCCAUUCUCAUGAACUUGGAAAUGUUUAUCAGAAGAAAGUCAUCACAAAGCAGAAACUAGAUAUAGUUUUUCACCUGCAGUCGAACCACGAGCCACUUGUUGAGAAAUUCCUGAUAAAAAUUGAGGGAUUGAAGAUAGAGGCUGCCAUUCACUUCUUCCUUGUGACCACACAAGUGUAGUUUCUAAGAGAUACCCAUUUAAGAAAUGCUCUGUCCAGGCGAAGUAAAUAAGCAAAGUAGAUGGUUCAAUAGCUCAUUAGAGGAAUUGAACAUGUAACAGAUGGAACAAUAGUCCUGAAUGCUUGCUAUUGAUUCACUACUGGUAGAACUGAAAUGCAAGAAACGAAAAAUGUUCACACGUGAAUUUGAGGUACAACAAAUCAAACAACUUAACGAAUAUGAAAUAUCAUAUUGUCAUUUAUUUUUUAUUUUGUUUAAACAACAGCUAGCAAUAGCACCUAUUCAAGACAAUCAUUCCAUUAAGAAAAAUAAAAAAAUAAAAAACAAGUACAAAGAGGACCACUCACCACACAAUUCUGAAAUUGCAUAGGGACCAACAUGUUGUUGAUUUUCGUCAAGUAUAUACCACCCUUCUUCACCGGCUGUCUCGUAAUUCCCUGCACCUUUAAGGAAAAAUAAUGCAGCAUUUCUUCAGCGUUUUGAUUAAAAAAAUAAUUUUUUUAUCAAUUUCAAUGAUUCAAACAAUUCUCAAUUGACAUAAUAAACUCAAACUCCUUUAUAAGGAAAAAAAUUUUCAAUAAAAAAGUUUUUUAACAAGUGAAGCUAUGAAUGUACCGCAGAUACGAUAAAGUUAUUAACACUUACCAGAAAGUUGUUGUUGACUAUCGACGUCGUCUAACGACAUCGUUUCGUUGAACUUCCUUUCCAAUUCUCGAUUUCCCUCUUCUUCUGCAACACAAGGACAAGCGCAAAGUUGCUCGUGCGGUAAAUAGAACAACGUGGAAAUGUCGAACUCUUGUUUGGACAAAUAUAUUAGUUUAUCCGAGAGGGGUAAAAAUAUGUCCUUAUAGCGGUUGAAAUAUUUCAUGGCCACCCCUAAUGUUUUGGUUAAUAUUAAUUUUUCCCCUCACUUGCGAAAUUAUUUCUUUGACAACGAAGGGUAUUUUCGCCAAACAAUAUUAUUUUCCGGAAUACGUAACAAAUCAUCUUGAAAUGCAAAGUAUGGGGGUAACUUGGACCAUCGAGUUGAAGCCUGAAGGGUUAAAUAAAUGAAAAAUGGUUUGAGGUUAGAUUUGUGAUUUCAAUGGACAAACCCUUCCCGCAUUAGGGUUUUAGGAUUUGGGCAAUAACAGAACAGAUCUUCCUUUAUACUGUAACUCGAAAGGCAGAGAAGUAUAGAGAGAUGUGGAGAUCAAUAGCUGCAGGAUCCAGGCUGGUAGCUCGGAACUUUGGUGUAGCCACGGAGAAGGUACAAUGCUCUCAAACCCUCAGCCUAAACAUAUCUCGUUCUUUAUCAAAACCCUCUCUUUAUCGAAGCUCUAGGUUUCUUUCAGAGUCACCUGCAGCGAACCCAAAGGAUGAGAGCUCAUUUUCACCUGAAACGGACUUCUCUUCGCGUAGUUUUGGUGAAAAUGAAUAUGCCCAGAUGGAUCCUUCUGCCGACGCGGUUGAAAGUAAUGACAAUUUAGGUGAAAAUUAUGAUACCCAGAUGGAAAAAUUUGAUUUCAUCUCUGGGGAAGGCAAAGAAGAGGAGGCGUAUGAGAUUGAUGGAGACAAGUUAGAGAAUGUGUUGUCACUUUUGCAGAGUAGUGUGGAUGGAUAUUUAGAGUCAAGCCUUGAUAGUUUUGAGUUGGACUUACAUGAAGAUUUUGUACUGAAAGUACUUGAAACCCCUCUCGUUUUGGGUGAGAAUUUAGUUUGUUUUUUCAAAUGGGUUAUGAAGCAUCCUGAAUAUCAGGUUACCAGUGGCGUAGUUGAUGCACUUUUGAAGGCUAUAUGUAGCAGUGUUGGGAAAAAAGAAGUGUAUGCUCUGUGGGACAUAGUUAAGGAGAUUGGUGAGAAGGAGAAAGGUGUGUUGACUGUGGAGAUUCUCAAUGAGUUGAUUGCUUUAUUUUCGAAGUUGGGGAAAGGCAAAGCAGCUUUUGAGGUGUUUAAUAAGUUUGGAGAUUAUGGUUGUGUGGCAAAUCAGGAGACAUACUAUUUUACUAUUGAAGCACUUUCUAGGCGCAAAAUUUUCGAUUGGGCUUGGUCUGUAUGUGAGAAAAUGAUUGAAACAGGAAGCUUGCCUGAUAGUGAGAAGGUUGGUAAGAUCAUAUCUUGGUUUUGUAAAGGAGGUAAGGCAAAGGAAGCUCAUGUAGUUUACACCUUGGCGAGGGAGAAAAAAAUGUAUCCACCUCAGUCUGUUGUCGCUUUCUUGAUCAGUUCACUUUGUCAGGAGGAUGAAACCGUAAAAUUAGCUUUGGACAUGUUGGAUGAUUUCUCGGGUGAGGCACGGAAGUAUGCAAUCAAGCCAUUUUCAUCUGUUAUUCGCAGUCUAUGUAGGAUGAAAGAUGUCCAUGGGGCAAAAACAUUGCUUUCUAAGAUGAUUUCUGAGGGCCCACCCCCUGGAAAUGCAGUGUUUAAUUCUGUUAUAAGUGCCUAUUCCAAGGCUGGAGAUAUGACACCAGCAAUGGAGAUGUUGAAGCUGAUGCGAAGUAGAGGAUUAAAACCGGAUGUUUACACUUACACAGGUCUUAUGAGUGGUUAUGCAAAUGGUGGUCAGAUGGAGGAGGCUUGUGAAAUCCUCAAUGAAGCAAAAAAGAAUCAUUCUAGGCUGAGCCCAGUGACGUACCACACGCUGAUACGUGGUUAUUGCAAACUUGAAGAGUUUGAUUGUGCUUUGAAGUUGUUGAAUGAAAUGAAGGAUGUAGGGGUCCAACCUAAUGUCGAUGAGUAUAAUAAAUUGAUCCAGUCUCUUUGCCUAAAGGCCUUAGAUUGGAGAACAGCGGAGAAGCUUUUAGAGGAUAUGAGGCUGAAAGGUUUACAUCUGAAUGGGAUAACCCGGGCUCUUAUAAGAGCAGUCAAGGAGCUGGAAGAGGAUGCAAUUGAGAAUGGAGAGGCAUUGGUGGAAGCUUAAAUUUUAGGAAAAGCAAUGUAACAGUCAGAUGAGCAUGUCAUGCUUGUAACCUUUUGUCCCCUUCUUUCAAGAUAAUACUUUAAUCUCUCGCUCUUCAGCUUCCUGCCGGGAGUUCACCAGCGAUGGAUGUUACAAAAUUCACUUUUUGAGAAAAAAGAGAUAAGUUCUUGUUCUACGGUUUCCGCUUGGUAAUAAAAUCAGCUUAAUUUUGCUUGUUUUAGAUUUUAUAAGCAGAUCAGUCUUUAUUUGGCCAUUUCAGUGAUUGCUGUUGGUUCUUUAAUUUUUAUCAAAAUUGUUCAGAUCAUGUUUGGUUAGUGGAAAGGCAUUGGAAAAACCAGGGUCAAGCUGGGAAUUAUAUCUCAUUUUUUCGUUAAACCAUGAAAUCAUGCAGUUUCAGUGGGAAAUGUGAGUAAAUUUCACAGUGGAGAAAAGAUUGAUGGAUACCUGCAGAUUAGUAUUAUUUGGGAGCGAAACUUUGUUUUUCUUUGUAUAUUUUGACAAGAAAGUUUGUUUUGCGUGUGGUUUAUUUUUUUGUUUCUUUGUAACUGGAACUUGUAUUAGAUCCUUCAUUCAGUUGAUCUAAGUUUUAGCCCAUAAUUUAGUUGGGUUUUCUGGAGACAUAAUUACUUCUUCAACCAGCAGCAUUGGUUUGUGUUCAGUAUUUCUACAGUUACUCGUUCAUAGUAACACCUGUUUUAAGGCUUUUCCUUCUCAUUUAAGUAAUCUUUAUUAGAAAUCAGGAUUUUUUUACAAUGCUGUAUGAUCUUUUUGCAGUAUUGAUGAUGAGGUUGUUCUAAAUUCUUGGAUUUGAAUAUUUUAAUCUGUCCCAUUAGUUAUAAUUAAAUGGAUAAAUAAUUAGUUAAUUAAUAAGCAAUAGGUAACCUUUAAAAUUAAGUUGAUGAAUUCAAAUCAAACAGAGAUACUUAACAAGUUAACACGAAAAGAUAGAGGUUGUGAUCCAUUAUGACUUUUUUUCUUCUUUUAAAUUAUGAGUAAUUUUUUUAACCAAUUUGCUAACUAGUACAAUGUGUCUAAAGAGUUAAUGUCUUUUUAUUUAUACAAAUAUUUUACACCGUUGAUCAAAAUCUAAAGGUGUACAUUUAUAAUAUUAUUAAUGCCGUGGAAAAAAAAAAUGAAUAACUGCAUCAUAGAGCGACCUUAGAUAUUAUUGUCAAUUAUCUUUGUUAACAUAUGCCUAGCAAGUUUAACUGUUUUAUUUGUUUUCAACUCUAGCAAACUGCAUUGCAAAUUAGGCAUUUAUGUUAAAUUAUCCUGUGUCUACAAGUCUGAAAUUAACUUCAAUUUGAUCAUUUUCGUUUGUCACAAGUUACUUAUAAAAAAGUUUUGUCUCAUCCAUUAGUGGGUUGCUGAGAAGACUAAAGAAAAGAUAAUAACCCUAGGAUAGAUGAUGAAUUAAAGCGGGUGAACUUUUUUAUUGUUGUGAUCAGAGUAUAAUGUGUUAGGUUAUUGUGGAGGAAAAGAUUGACUGAUGAAAAACAUGAAGGUAGAUGAAGGAGAGUAAAACAUAUGAUGUUAUACUUGCUUGCCGAAAUCUAUUUCUAUUGAUUAAUUUUUUACUUUCAACUCUCUUCUUCCUCAACCACAGUGGAUGGGAUUAAACACUCCCUCUUGCUUUUCCUUUUUCUCGAAUCUCUCGGGCUUGAAUAUAUUGAGAUCUACCCACAAUUAACAAACAGCUGUCAACUUUAUAAUUUGAUUUGUUCCUUGCAAUGUAGAAGAUGGGUUAAGUAAUGUAAAAUUUCAUUUAAUUCCCGAUUUUAUACUCUGCUUUGGUUCCUUUGUUUGAGAUCACAGCUCUUGUUGGAUCGUCUAGCAAAUAAUAGAAAUCUCACAUAUCCGGAUCCAGUAGUUGGGUAUGCAUAAUUUUGCAGUUGGCAAUGACUGGUGAAAUCAAACCGAUAUUAAGAAACUACCGCAAAACCACAAAACAGGAUUAUCAAAUCUAAAAUUUGGUCACGCAAUGCCAUGGCAUGAAGUGAUCUACAGUCUCUAGAGUACUGCUCUACAAAUUCCAGUAAAUUUUACAACCUUUAUUGAAAGUCACCUGCAAGGUCCCCUGCAAACCCCGAGAAUUUCCAGCGGCAAGUUUACCCUAACUGGAUCUGUUCAGCAUUCCAAUCAUAUCUUGCCGCGGACUGCACAUAGCCACCAAAGGCACGGUCUUAGAUAGAGAUAGUCCAUAACUUGCAGUCAUGUCCACCUCCGGCCCUAUCUUUUCCCACUCGAAGCACUGUAUGAGCGAACCCAAAGCAAAAGAAAUUGUACGGAUAGCCAUGGCUGCACCUGGGCAAGCUCUCCUCCCCAUGCCAAAUGGAAUAUGUUUGAAUCCCUCUCUUUCACUAUGAAUCCCUUCAAAUCUUUCAGGUUUGAACUUGUUAGGCUCCUCCCACACCUUGGAAUCCCUAUGCAUUGCCCAGGCAUUCACCAUUAUCGUCGUGCCUUGUGGUAUGUGAUAUCCACCCACUAUGCAGUUCUCAGAAGAGAAAUGUGGCAACAGAAGUGGUGCCGGAGGAUAUAAUCGCAGCGUCUCUUUUAUGACACAGCAAAGGUAUGGAAGGUUGACAAGAUCCUCGUCAUUUAACAUGCGCCCAUUUGCAACGUUGCAGUCAAUUUCUGCUCUCACCUUCUGCAGUACAUCUGGAUUAUUCAAUAGGAGUGACAUUGCCCAUUCCAGAACAACUGCUGUCGUUUCUACUCCUGCUAUAAACAUUAGCUGAAAAAUAGGUUGCUCAAAGUUAGAAUCAAAGCCUCAGUACCGAUGUCUUCGACAUUCUGCACUGAGAGUACUUAAUUGUAUCACCUAAAAGAACAUAAAUAACAGAACGGUCCACGUUACAUUACAUUACAUUACAGAACAAGAAAAACAGAGUAACUCCAAAGAGCUCACCAAUGCAGCCAAAACGAGAGAGGCCUAAAACGUAUAUUACACCAGAACUUAAAACUUGUAUGAUGAAAUGAACAAAUCUAUCGCAAGAAUGUAUGAUAUUUGAACUCUAGUCGAUCUAAAGUGGCUAGAAAGUCAACCCUUUCGUGUAUUCAAAUCAAGACUAAACUAACAAAGAGCGAUCGCGUUGUCUUUUGCAUUUAUCACCAUUAUAAACUUGGAAAUGAAUAGCAAUUAUUGGAGGUUAACUCCCACCGAAAAUGUAAAACCUAUACGCUAUCUUACUACGAACACCUUGGAUGUUGAAUUUGUCGGUAGUGAUCAAAUUCACCACUCAUUGUAAAACACAAAUAAAUAGAUGAAUGAAAGAGUAAUGGUGCUCACCACAAUGACGCUUUUAAGAACAUCAUCGGAGUAAAAUUCGGGCUCUGAUUCUUGGAGAGACAAGAGAGUUUCAAUCAAUGACUUGUUCCUCACACUAGCAGUUUCGAAGGAAGAACUUGUUUUCUUCAACCGGAUGCGAAUAUCAUCUAUCAAAUUCUGCAUAAAUUCGUCCCGCAUCUUUUGUACCCUUACAUAAAUCUUCUCAAUGCCCUUGCUAUAACCAAUUAACCUCAAGAUUGGAAAAAGAUCACAUAUAUUCGUUAUCAUGCUAGGGAAAAAUAUCUCCUUAAAUUCCAGCAGGAAUUUCUUCGCAACCUCCAUGUUUGCUGCACCUGCAACCUCCUCAGUACCACGCUUUCCAGCAACAAUUCUCAUCAUGAAAUUAGUAGACAGAAUAGAAAACAAUGGUUUCAGCUCAACUUUUUGGUUACCGCUUGCUGUAUGUGUAAACAAUUGAUGAAGCAGACAAUGAACUUCAUCUUGAAGAAUUGGAAAAGACUUUUUGAGGUUGUUGGAUGAGAAGAUUUCAAUAACAGUGAAGCGACGAAGGGUUCUCCAGAUAUGACCAUAAUCUGCCCACGCAUAGGCAGUGUAGUUGUAAGUGAAAUAAUCACCGCCCAAUGACUUAGGCCGGUUUGCGAAUAUUAUGUCGUUCUUGGUGAAGCAAUCUUCAGCGGCAGAUGCUGAAGAUACAACAAGGACAGGCCUGGCGCCAAGUCGGAGAUACAUGAUCGGACCAUACUUUGACGAAAGACUCCCCAGCGCUUGGUAGAAUGGCACAGGCUUCUUCAUAAGAUAAAGGUGGCCAAUGAUUGGAAGAGCAAAUGGACUGGGUGGUAAGUUUUGCUGCCUGGUGAAUCCAAGUUUGAUUAUCAGGACUAUGGAGAGUAGGAAAGCAAUAAGGUAACAGUACAAGUUUUCCAUCGCAAACAUGAAAUUGAGUUCACAAAUACUUGCAGUCUUGCGGACAUACCCUAAUAUUCUCGGCUGGAUUAAACUCAAUCGAGUGUGGGGUUGACUGACUUGGGAUUCAAAUUUUGACUAAAUUAAAGUGCGAACUAUAACGAAAGUGAUGUGUUUGUCUGUACUCUUAGUGGAGCAGGCACGCCCAAAAGGACCAUGCCAUCUGUUCGUUGACUAACAUUUAAGCGAAUGCCAAGUAGUAAUAAUUUGACAGGAUUUUUCCUCCCGUAUAAAUUAAAUUAAGGUGGGUCAGGGUAUGAGGUGUUCCCUUUAAGUUGCAGCUGUCGUAAAGUAAAAUAUAUACAUGUGGAGUAGAAAUUAGAAAAAAAAAAUUUGUUAAGUUAUUAAAACUCAACAACAUGUGUUAUCAAAUAUUUUAAUAAUUGGGUUUUGGCAGCCUAAGUAUUUCACCAUACUCAUAAACGGUCUCUAAAAGUAUGAGAUGUGCAUGCUUGCUGUAGCAUCUGACCAACGGCCAUUGUUGUUCAUUGCAAAACCAUUUCAGCAGGCUGUUGGAGAAAAAUCAAAUUUUAAAUUUUUAUAAAAACUUUUAGGAUCGCUCUCAUACAAUAUAUAAGAAUUUGUAAUUUAGAAGUCAUAUCUUGAAAAUCCUAUUUGGUUUUUUCUGCUGAAGUGAUUUAGGCUCUCAGAUCACGAUCUAUCAACAUCACUCCUGUUAGAUCACGAUUUGUCAUUACCACUCCUUUUACAUCACGAUCAGCCACCAAAUAAUCUUUCAAGCUAUGACUCAGGUUUGAUCUGUACUUAACGUGUACACGCCUUUAUUACCACUAAAACAACUAGUACGAGACAAUUUUUCUCUUAAAAUUAGAUAGAAAAAUAUUUUUUUCUGAUUUGACUUCUACCUUUUUUCAAGAGAAAAUAAGUAUUUUUAUAUGGAUCCCUCUAAGUUACAUGCAUGUACCUUACAACCCUCUCACAUGAAUAGUGAGUGGACCCACAUCAUUCACUAUUCAUGUGAGAGGGUUGUAAGGUACAUGCAUGUAACUUAGCAUUAGCCUUUUUAUAUUCCUAUUUAGUGAAAACCCUUGACUCUAUUUUUAUAUUAUUUAAUUCUAUUAAAUCAAGUUUGAUUUAAAUUAAAAAUAAUAAACCAAAAGUAACUAUUUAUUUCUUGUCAUAGGAGCCCAUUUUGUAAAAUAACACAAUACCCCUUAGACACAAGUACAUUACACGAAAUUUCCCACUAAAUAAUAUAUUUAAGCUUUUAACUCAAAUAGCUAUUUAUCUUAUUUAUUAAUCUAGUAGUGGCGUAGUCUAUUAAAUAAGCUAACCCGGAGAUCAUUUAGGAACAUACAAUAGUGGCUAUAAUAAUUAGGUCUGUAAUUAAACUAACUCAAUUAUUUAAUUCCAAAUCUACUCUACUAAAAGAUUAAAACCGACCUCCAUAAUUGUAUGCUUAAAUAAUAAUUCGUUCCAAGCUACAUCGAUUUUUUUACUGCAUAAUCUUUUGUACCACAUCGUUAAUUAAAUUAAUAUAUUAACUGUCCAAUCGAUUUAAUUACAUCUUAUUCAUUAAUACUUACUGAUUUUCUCUAAUGAUCAUUUUCAACAUACUAAAUAUGUUGACACGCUCUGAUCAGAGAAUUUUAUGAUCAAGUGCCGAAAACCCAUCAAGAGAUGUUUUGUACAAAUUCUAUAUUGUUAAUCUAUAACUCCAAUACUCAUAAUUGCACCCACCAAGAUACCGGGUAAUCUUGACCAUAAGUGUUUAUUGUGCCCAUUGGUAACUCAAAUGAAAUAACAAUUACAAUCAUAAAAUCAUAAUUAAUUCAAGAUUAAGAUUACAGUAAAAUUAAUGUUUAUGAGAUUUAAUAAGUCUGACAAUCAUUUUAAGGUUAAUUAAAUCUCAUAUGUGAUCCAGCUCAUUGUAGUCAAACUACAUUAGUAAAUUUAUAUAUGAUUAAGACAAAUUAUUCAAUGAAUUUACUACAGUCUAAAUAUAAAUAGAGUGACUAACUCUAUUUAUCAACUGCGAACUAAAUUUAUUUAAUCAUAAGAUAACUUGUAUUUAUGUCUUAUGUGAAUCCAUAUAAUGAUCAUAUAAAUACAUAUAAUAUGAUUAAACAGACCUUAUUCAAUAUAUAUUUAUGUAAUUAAAAAUAUCUCAAAUAUUUUAUUAAUCAGAAAAUAAAUUAAUAUGCUUUAAAAGAACAUAUAAUCCCAACACAUGCAUGGUUUGAGACUUUUGAGUCAGCAUCUACAGACCCCCAACCAGAUAAGUUUAGCGUUGUAACAUUAAUGAUCGUAUGAUAUUGGUGUUGAAAUAUUUAAGAAGUAAUGAGUUUCAUUCAUCGUCAGAAAUCUUUUAACGGCAAUCGUUAUUGAUUUGAUUUGCCUAUGCUGAAGCACUACACAAUACAUGAAUCCAGAACAAGUUAUUUUGUCUUUCAAAACUCUCGUAAUAUGUCUUAGCUAUUAAUUUCAACAAAUUCAGACUUGAGAGCAUGGAAGGUGGAGGCAAAAAUAUGCACCUAUUGCCAGCAUUAUUAGUUAUUUACAACAAUUGCCAUGACAAAGUAACAACUACAUUGCUAUUUCUUGAGGGGGCAAUAAAUGCCUGGGUACCUGCACAUUCUUGGAGCGUUUUUUUGCCAUUUUUUUCUUUAUUAGUCGACUUUUGGGGUCAUAAGGCUUUUAAAAUUGGACAGGGACAGGAGGACGGAAAGUAAUGAUUAGGCCCAUUACCAUAUGAAUAAGAAUCUCACGUGGUUCUUUCUGUGGGCUUCGCCAGCGAUCUAAUCGAUGUCCGUACUCGUGUCAACAGUCAAAAAUAAAGCCGAGAAUUUGCUUCUCGAUGCAGACUAGACCGUGCCUGCUGCCUGCCUAUGCUAUCUGUAGUCUGCACAUAUAUAUGCCUCUCUCAUCCUUCAUUCAUUCGGAUUCGGCUUUAAUCUUGUUCUCUUUUCUUUGGUCAGAUUUUAUUCAUUUGAAUAGAUUUUUAUUUAUUCCCUGGGUUUUCUUUUUUGAACGGAAUACGUUACACUUUAUAGUACAGGUCUAGAGUUUUAUAAACAGUCCAUAAUUCUACAAUUAAUCUCCACUUUGCUUUUAGAAGAAGGAACGCGAUAACCUCUGGAUAAGUUGUAAAAAGCAAAAGUUGAGUAACAAAGCUGUAGAAAGACCAAUGUCGUGGAAAAAAAACAACCACCCAGCACAUAACAUCAACAUAACAAACGAACACAAAUAAUAUUUAAUAAGAUAAAGGCCAAAUUUUCCUUAUCACUUAAGUCUUAAUAUAUAUGAUAAAAUUAUGUAUUCAAAGAUUUACAUAUGUAGACUGUAGGGCAUAGAAAGUAGUACAAAAAAACGCGGAUUGAAAGUCCUAAAAGGACCCCAAAAUUUUGAAAAGAAAGAUGCAGAUUCACCCCAGAGUCGUCACAGACCCCACUAUCAUUGACAAAAUCACAAAAUGCACAAACCAGUAUGGCAAAAAGCAAUAAUAAUAGGUAGCUUCCUAUGAACUUUUUGAAGCUCAAUUAAUGGCUUCUUUUCAACGUUUAACGGAACCGAGGAGCUUAGCUGAAAAAACUCAACGGUUGUGAAGUGGGUCUGAAGCAUUCGGAACUCUCCUCUUGCUUGAAAAGUACCUCAAACUUUGCUUCUGCUGCUGAUUCUGCUGUUGUUUCUCUUGCACAUUUGGCGGCAAAUGACUGUUAUUCGUACCAAAAACCACCUUCACCUUUUCUUCCUUCUGAUCUCCUGAGACUAACAGCAAUGAGAGAAAAACCAAUGCAAUUGUCUUCUGAAGCAACCCCCCGUGCAAAAACUGUAAACGCCUUUGCAUCUUGUGAAUGAUUUUGAGUCUUUUUAUUUAUCUUUUGAGAGAGAUCAGAGGAGUUUAUUGAUGAAAUGCAUACUGGGGGACCAGCAGCAGCUUGAGAGCGGAGAGGAGGGUGGGAGUUGGAUAAGAAAGGGCUUGCAUUCAAAAGCUAAAUGGCUUUAAUUUUUGUUUUGGAAUGCAAGGCAAGAAAAAGAAAAAAAGAGAAGAAGAAGAAGAAAAAGGCAAAUGGAGAGUUAUUGAGUACACCCUGCAAACAAGGGACACAACUUACAAUGCAACUUUUUCUUGCUAUUCAGCUUUUUAUUCUCUCUUUCAGUCCCUAAAAUAAGGGUCACUCCGAGUUCAAUUUUGUGGUAUAAAAAUAGACUAUACUAUAAAGAUAUUGGCUCUUGUGCUUUUUUCUUUUUUCUUCUUUACUUUUCUUCUGUCUGGGCAUAGUUUGUCUGCAUUUGCUUUGGAAAGUAGUCCAAGUUUCUCUUUAUGGCUACUAGCAGAAAAGAAAAGAAAAGAAAAGGAAAAUAAUCAUAUAUAAAAACAGUUCAUAACCAAGAAAGAGUAAAAAUGGCUCUUGAGUAUCCGAGCCCUUUAGUCAUUAGUCAUGCUAUUUUUCCAAAAACUUUUCUUCUUCAUGCAAAAGCUUACCACAAUUCACAAUUCACAGCCAAAGGCAAAGAAACCUGUAAAAGGUUCUAACCAAUGUAUUUCUUUUCCUGAACAAAACAAUAUCUUUAAAGCGAAUUGAGUGGUCAAAUCAUGCGCAACAGGACCGAUGGUUCUCUCCUCUACUCAAGAACUAAUACAAUACAAGAAUACCUGCUGUUAUGUUAUGUGACCAGGCCGUGACUAUCGGUUUCUUUUUCUUGAGUUGCCUUGGCACUUAAGCUGAAGUUCGACAAAAAGGUUAAUUACAUGUAAAUAUAGAAUUAGAUAUACCUAAAUAGCAAUUAACAUGUUAGUUUCCAUGUCCAUGCUUCACUUGUAUUGAUCAUUCAUUUCUCUGUAGAGGCCAAAAGCAAAAUCAGAAUGAAUGCCAAAAGUAAAACAUAGCAUGUAAAGAAGCAAUUGUAUCUUGAAGCUGAACCAGGCUCUACAUCUUUGAAUUACUACUUACUUACCCCACCAAAAUUAAAAAAACAUGGACUCAUUAUGCGCAUGAACCUCUGACCCUGACUAUGACCCUCUCUAAAUGGACAACAUUAGUUAGACCUUCCAGAAAACAAUAUUUAAUAAGUAUUCAGAUCAUGCUAUUUGAAUGGACAAUGAUGACAUGGCACGAGCACAACUGCUUUGCCAUUGGUACCAACUCAUCAGACUUGAGGACAUAGUGAGUGCUCAGAAAAUGAUGUUUGGUCAGAACAGUCAAUGACAUUCAUGAAAUUUUAAAGACUCACAAGUUGGUUUUCUGGUGGUGCCCCGCCAUCUCCUGUCCAAAAGACAAAACUUGGCCCAUAUUAAAGUUGAAUGUUUCUUCAAAUGUUGGAUCUGCUAAUUCCAGCUUCUAAAGAGAAAGCCCACGUUAUCAGCCGACCUCUUUUUCCAUUUCUAUCUGAGUGCUGAGAAAAUGAUGUUUGGUCGCAACAGUCAAUGACAAAUAUGAAAUUUUCAAACGCUCACAAGUUGGUUUUUUCUUCUUAAAAAUGGCAGCGGCAUUAGCUGCCACGACUGAUUUUCCUGAAGCAGUUAAUUCCUCCGUAAUAGAUUCUGUGAUUUUAUAGCAAGCAGCAAUGGCAAUCGAAAUUCAAAGGUUGAAAUGCACAAGUAAAGAUCCUUUUAAAUCCUUCAUAGUUCAAAGUCGAUUUCAAGAAUUAAGCCCUCAUUCCAGAAAGAAGGGCCGAGAAGCCUGUAUCACAACAGUAUCGUCGUGCGGUUGUAUCACUAGCAUCAAACCAUAAGUUUGUGGAGAUGACCAAAGGAGCAGAACAGAUAGUCAUGAUUAUUAAAUGUGCAAUUUAAGAUGACAUUUUACUUCAGCAAGUAUAAGCUCCCAUUACAUCAAUGAUCUUGCAAAAAUGAAUCCUGCCCUAGAAGAUUCUUGGUUGGGAUGUUGAACUAGAAGUUGGUGAAAAACAUUUGAUACCAAAACUCAGCUGUUAGGUUAACAAGAUUUGGACAUGAGCAACCUUAAGUCAGAGAAAAGUGCAACUGCCAGGAUCAUGAGUAGGUCAAGGCUAUUGCUUAUAACAAACUCAACAAUCUUCUAUACAUCUAUGGCAACAUCCCUGAAUAAUAAAAGUUCAAUGGUACAUGAUUUUUCAGUCAAAUUAAACAUCCGACUCAAACCUUACAAAUUGAUCACUUCAAACAAUGCACCAUCCCAGCAGAAGAACAUUCUCAAAUCCAUCAUACAACUUAUUGAUAUCCGAGAGAGGUAGAAACAAACUUACUAAGCCUAGCUCAAGCUCAAAAGAGUGAAUAAAAUGGUGCAUAUUGCAAGAGAAACUACAAUUCAAUCUCAUUAGCUGGCUAAAAGUGUUUAUAAGAUGCUUCUUCAUGGAGUUGAUUUAUACACAUGAGAAUUUACAUCAUUCAACUUAUGAACUAAAGAAACACAUACUAAGACUAAUAAGUCUAGCCAUCAGCAUGGCCCCCCAGCAUUUCUCAAAAAAUUAGAAAUCCCCUUCUCUAGCAGAGAAUGAUCUUCCAAUGUCACUAUUAGUAGCUGCUUGCAUUACCAGUGCCAUUCAUACAAUUCAAAAGUCUCCAAUCACCAGAGUGCUAGCAAUGACAAGAGUCACUCCCCCCAGCAUUUCACCACAAGCAAUCAAAUUCAAAGAUCUCUUCCACCAAUAGAGAUCGGUGAUAUGCUCACUAAAAAAUCAAUCUUCUGAGUUAGAAUACUAGUUAGCAACUUUUAAAUCAGACCUCUUUUGCCAAUGAUAGCUCAAAUAACAAAUUCCAGUCCAACUUCAAUCUUUGAUAUCUUCAAAGUAACAACUAGGUAUCUCUGGAGAAGAAGGGGUGGUUGCCACACAUUUGAACUGUUUCCAACAAGUAAUAAAACAAAUAAGAUUAACAUUUUAGCUACACAUCAUAACAUUAAAUAAACUUGACACUUAACCAAUACACUACCUUAUGUUGCUUGUAUUUUUCUCUUACAGCUUGCAAAUUCCCUCCUCUUCUACUCAAAUAGAGGUCAUGUAGGAUAAGAACACAGCCUUCUAUUUCAGAUGGUUUGUAUCCAGAGUAUUGUUGCAAGCUAGCAGUCUGCAAAUACAAAUGCCUAGCUAAAUAAUUGCACUUCAGGAAUAAAAAAACUCCAUCAACUGUAAAUAGAAAUCAGCUUACCCAGGGAUGCUUUGAUGGUUGGGUAAUGAAUCUUGCCAGGAAUAUAACAGAUGCAGCAACUGAAGAGGGCAAAAAUUUCACACAAGCAUAAUCUAAUAGACUCAGUUCUGCAAGAUAGUAUCCAAGGAACUCUAGUUGCAAAUUGGAAGCCUGUGAAAACCACACAAAAAAUAAUAAUAAUAAGUAAUCAAGAAGAAACUCGCUCAUGCCUUUAGCAGCAGAUCUACAAAAGACAAAAAGGGUGGAGAUUUCACUUACAUUGUAAUCCUCUUGUGCAACCCUGGUGAAUCGCCUGCACAUCAACACAGUAAAAGGAAAAUAACAAUCAGCGUUCAGCACAAUGGACCACUAAACGUUUUUCUAAUUAUAAGCAACAACUAAAAGAAGAAUCUUCACCUCAAAAAUGUCUUGACAGUGGGACUUCCCAAUUCAAACUUCAAGGACUUGAGUAUAUCGGCCUCCAUUUUCACCACCUCGUCUUUGGUGUAGGUAUUAUCCGUAAUGUAGCAAAAAUCCUCCACAUUUGGAGGGCUAAUUUCCUCAUACUUUCUACUUGAUACAAAACAACAAAAGUGACAUCAUAAGCAACCAGAAAAUUGGCAAUCAAACAUAAAAGAAAAAGGGCUUACGAAGAAAAAAAAAAUAGAGAGAGAGUUAAUGGCCGCUUACGAGGCAAUGAGCAUUGAAGAAACCCCAAGCAAUUGAAGCUUCUGGCGAUUGAGAACAUUCAAAGAAAGGAACCUAUCAAUAUACGAAAUGGUGAGAUAGAGGGUAUCUGAAACAAGCUUGUAUUCCUCCGCAACCUCCACCAACCAGUCAACCAAUACCCCUCUCAUGUUUGCACUCACAUCCUUCUGAACCUUCUCUACGUAAUCAGGCAAAGGCCUUCUCUUUGGAUCCACCUACAUUAUCAGAGAAAUUAAACUUGUUAACAAAACAUGAAAAAACGGAAGCAAAGGAAAUUAAACCCAAAAUAUGAUCUAAAGCUUCAGUUUUUUUUUCUUUUUUUAUGUACCUCCAUGGAAUGAAGAUACUGGUAAAUGUCGGUGACGUAGGCUCCACAGAUCUGAGGGUCAUCGGAUCUGGCAUCAAUGUCAAUAUCAGCAUCCUCGGUUGCCUUGGUCUUGGCCUUGGCCUUGGUCUUUUCCGUUAGCAAAGCCUUCUUCGCUUUGGCCUUGGCUUUACGCGGCUCAGCCUUGAGACUCGGAUUCACCGAGACGACGACGUUUGUGUUGGUGGGCAACUCCCCCAAGACCACCCGCUUCUUUUUGGCUGGCUGCUCCGAGGCACUUCCAGAGGCCGCCCUCUUCUUGGCCGCUGCCCGUGUGACCCUAACAAAGUUCUCUUGAUCCGCCAUUACCAAACUAAUGCUUCACUCAAUUUGGGACUCAAGAGAGGAGGAGAGAGGGAUUUUGGAAUUGUGUGAGAGCAAAGGAAGGAAGGAGAAAUAAGUAGAGUUGUAAAAUAGAAGGGAGAGGGAGAGGGAGAGGGAGAGAGCGCCAUCGUUUUGGUUUUUCAAAAUAUCAUUUGGGCGCUCGCUUCCCUCUCUCUCUUCGCACUUGAAUCUUUUUGAUUUUCAGUUUUUGUCCUCUUAAAUUUUUAUUUUUUUUUUGAAAUAGAAAAUCAAAAAUUUUGGGGGCUAAAAACAUUUUUAAGCCAGAGCGCGGUGGGAUUGGCGGGAUUUUGUUUUGUUUUUUUUCAAUUUCAUGCCGUGUCGACACGUAAGCCAAAUAUCUAUGCAGAUAAAUAACAUUAUAUAAAUUACGUAAAGAUGAGUGGAAAAUUAAUGGUUGAUCUCAUGAAUGUUUAUGUGAAACCCAUUUAUAUUUAUUAAUUAACCGUUAAGUGAUCGUCUCGACUCUCGAGAUAUGAAGUCAGUGAAUCCUUUUAACAGGCCUUGCCGUCUUGAAAAUAUAUAAAAUUGAUACACUAUUACAGGACAGGACUGUAAAAUAAUUAUGCGUUCUACUUUUCUAAUAUUCUAUGAUAAUAAAAUAAAAUUUUUUUUAAUACUGAUUAAUCAUUAGAUUAUUAUAUUACACAGAUAUUUAUAACAAUUACUUAUUGUAGCAGAGAUAUUACACUGAUAUUUACAGUCAGAUAUACAUAAUUAGGACUUAUAUUAUUAUAAUAAAUUUUAUAAAAUACAUGUUUAAAUAAAUAACUUCUCAUAAAAAAAAAUAUCCAUACUCUACUUAUAUUUUAUAAAAAAAAAAAAUUUUUAAAUAUAAAAAAUAUUUAGCCCUCACAAUGUUUGUGAGGGCAGCAGCCAAGGCCGAAGUGGCUGAUAAUAAAAUAAUUGAACUACUAGAUUAGGAGAAACUCUAGAGUCGUCCACGUAAUGAAUUAAACAAUUCGAAAACGAGGGACGGUGAUUGGCCGAGAGGGAGUUUUAGAAAUAGUAGCGCCAUUUCUCUUGUUUUCAGAACAUUUUUAUUUUUACCCGCUUUUGAAGUUCUGGAGGGGUUUCCUCCUUUUGACUAAUUUUUUUUGUUUUCCAAAAAUUUCAAAUUCUGGGACAGCGAGUGGCCUUGGCCUAAAAGGCUCUGGCUCGUGUUAAAUUUUUUAAAAACUAUAAUCAUAGCCCGCAGCUAGCCUGCUGCCCUUUUGUGUAAUUUCUGUUGAUGGUAUGUAUUUUAGAGCCUGUUUGGUAUGGCUUAUUUAAGAGGCAUAAGUGCUUAUUUAAUCGUAUAAGCACUUUUUAAAAUUUUUUAUGGUGUUUGGUUAUUUUUUUAGUAGAAUUUUUUUAGCUUAAAUAAGCUAAUUUACCUCUACUAGGAAAAGCUCAAAAUUUGAGCUUUUGGGAGUAGAGGUUAUAAAACUUUUCUAAAUAUAUAUAAUAUAAAAAAUAUCACAUAGUUUAAUGGUUCAAAAGUGCUUUUUUUAUUGACAACCAAACACCCAAUGACUUUUUGUCCAAAAACUCUAUUGGUAUAAGCUCUACUGCUAUAAGCUCUACUGUUAUAAGCUCUAUUUAAUAAGCUGUACCAAACGGAGCCUUAAUCAUUUUGCAUUUAUGCUAAUCCAUCGUAGCCGUCCGUUGUUGUCAAAAGCUUGCGCAUUACUUGGUAGUCACUUCGACUGUUUGAGCCUCCACUUCUGUAAAAUAAUAAGAUUACUGAAUCUCAUAUCGAAUAUUCAUUUUUUUCACGUAAAAUAAAAAUAGUCCAGUGUUUAGUAAAUAACUUUUUUUUAAAUUAGUUUUUAAAAUUUUUGAGGAUAGAUUUAGCAAUAAGUUAAAAGGUAGAUUUGUCAAUUACGGGAGUAAGGGUGGACAUCUCGAUCGAGUUUACCUAAUUCAGUUUAGUUUCGCUCUUAAAACUUUGAAUAACUUUUUUUUUUAAUUGAUUAAGCAUCAGAUUAUUGUAUUACACAGAGAUAUAUAUAACUGCUAUGACAGCAUGUCAUUACACUGAUAUUUAUAAUCAGAUAUAUAUACAUGAGACUUACAUUAUUACAUUUUUAGUCUAUGAAACACAUGCCCAACCAAAUACCCCUCACGGUGGAGGGAUGUCUCUGCUCCAUUCGCAUUUCGCAAAAGAGAAAGACGUUGUAAGUAGUCUCCACACAAUUAUAUUUAAUUGAGGGAGGUUGAGUAUGUGGGGACUCGAACCAUUGCCCUCAUAGUCAUGCUUAACUUUAAGGGCAAUAGUUUAUGAGCUACAAGCCCAAGUCGCAACUUAGAAUAACUUAAAAAUUAAAACUCAGGUUGAAAUUUAAUUCAGAUUAAGACAGAAUCAAAUUGAUAUUAACACGAUCGAUUUAUAAGUUUAAAUUAAAAGAAGUUGAUAAAAUAUCUCUAACCUUAACUCACAAACUAUAAUCUCUACAUUAUCGUAUUCUCAUCACUGCACUUCAUCAUUAUCUUUAUUUUUCAUAACAAUCAAACAAUAAUUAAUGCAAGAUCCCAGAUUGAGUAAAACACAAAUUCACAAUCAUGAUUCACAAGCCCAGAGUGCCAAACAACCAAACUGACACACACAAGACCCAAGAGCAAACCAUGUCGAAUUCCAACUGUAUAGCACUGGCAUUGUGCACCACCCAAACCAGUUCUCAUCGGCAUCACAAGCCGCUGCACUUUGUCACUAGAUUCACCACCUGUCAUAAGCAGCGUAUGCCUAUCGUCCAUCACGCUUCGUAUCUGUUGCGCUGCAAGUUGUCUUCGUCGCUGACUUCCGUUGGUCGUUGUCGCCUUUCUCCAGCCGAUGGUAAACUUACUUUUGGUUUUAUUUGUAUGUUCAUUAAGUGUAUGAUAGAUGAUAGGCAAUGAAUAGAUUUCUUGGUUCAUUUCUUUCAAACUGAUGAAAUUUGAGUUUUAUGUUGAUUUUGUUGUAUCAAUUGACUCAAUUUUGUUAUAAAAAAACCCAGAAAUUUUCAAAAAACCUUCCUAAUUUGCAUGCAUUUAAAUAAUAAAAAAAAUGUAUAAUUAAGAAUGGGUAUGGGUAGGGUUGGGUUAGAUUUACUGGGGCGCAACAACCGAAACUUUUGAGUAACUCAAACCUACUAAGGUUGUGUUUACUUGCUGGAGUGAGAGUGAGGAGUGUGGAUUCCUCCCACUCCAGCGUUUACUUGCUUAAAAUGGCCACGGAUUGAGAAUCUCACUCCGUGGGCCCCACUCAUUUUUGGAGUGGGGAGUGGGAGUGGGAAUCCACUCCCACCUCUCCCCUUUUUACCCUUUCAUUUAAUUUAAUUUAAUUUAAUAUUUUAUAAUUAAUAAAAUAAAAUAAAUAAUAUUUAUUUGAAUAAUAAUAUUAUAUUUAACUAAAUAAUAAUUUACAUUGAUUCUAAGUUAAAAUUAUUUUAAAAUAAUACUAUUACAUUAAUAGAGAAUUAAUAAAUAUAAUAUUAUUAUAUUUAUUUUAAAAAUAAUAGUACUAUAUUUAUUUAAUAAUAAUAAUAAUAAUAAAUAGUUUAUUCUAAGAAAAUAUUAAUUUUGUACUAAAUAAUAUUAUUUUAUUAUUUUAUAUAGUAAUAAAUUUAAUAUAAUUAUAUUAAAUAAAAUAAAAUAAGGUUUCAUUUUAUAUUAAAAUUAAUAAUUUAUUGUUCAUAAUUAAGAAUAUUAAUAAUUAUAAUAAAUUUAUAAAUAUAAUAAAAUAAAUAUUAUUCAUUAAAUAUAUUUUUUAUUAGUUUUGUAAUUAAAAACUAUAAUUCUUUAAAUAAGGAUAAAAUUGUAAUUUGAAACUAUUUACUUCCAAUCCAAGACAAAGUAAACACAUAAAUUGGAUUCUGAUCUCUAUUUCAUGCUUCCAUUAUAGUGUAAGUAAACAACCUACUCACACUCUCAUUCCACACUCCUAAUCCAAGGAUUCCCACUCCUCAGGAUUCCCACUCCAAUUCAAAAAGUAAACGCAGCAUAAAUAUAAUAAAAGUCAGAUUGGAUUAGAUUGAGUAUGGUUUAAGGGUUCAAAAAUAAGGAAAACAAGUGAUCAUCAGUUAUGGGUUUUCUUAAGGAGGAGGUCAGACUCAGACAUAUAUAUGCAAAACUCAAGUUGGAUCUCAAAUUCUCAAUAAAUGUCUGGUGAAAAGAUAAAAAUAGCAUUAAUAGCCGGUCAGCAACAUGGAAGUUAUGACUAAGUAUUGAUACGAGUAAGGAAGAAAACAUAUUCUUGUCUUCAUAUAUACGGUAAUAAACACCAAUUUCAGCCAAGACCUAAGACAGUCCACUUCAGCUUCGCGUAGCUAGGCGUUGAUAUUUUUUUUUAAAAAAAAAAGAAAGGAGAAAAAAAUUGGCAAGAUUAAAUUUAUGAAAAAUUACAAUCAUUUGUAUGAAAUUUGUUCUUUAAGGGAACGUUUUCUUUCUAGUAAAUAGGAAUUAAUUCUUCCUAAUGAUUAUCCAUAUUAGAAAAUAAUAUUUAUUUCUCUUAGGAGUGCAGAUCCUCUCAUGAUUUGAUUAUUAUCUGAUUUAAGUUCAGAUCCCCUUGUGAUCUAAUCACUGUUUGAUCUUUUGAAGAUCCAUUGAUAUGUGAUAUUACCAAAAAAAGUGAAACAUGCAAAGCCAUGAAAAGUAAAAAUAAAACAUGGAGUAUGAGCACGAAGCACAUAAAGUAAAAUAUUUAAUUAAAGAGCAUAAAACAUGAAAAGUCAAAUAAUUAAUUAAAAUAGAGUAUGCGCUUACAAGAUAAAGAGACAGUGAACAAAAAAAAUCUAAAAGCUUCAAAAACUAACUUUGAGAAGGAGAUAUAUGUAGACGCCAAAUCAAACUUUAAUCAAGUGGUGGAAGCAUAUCAGAAUAAGAAGAUAUCAAGAACUUAAAAUACCGAAAAUUUGUGUUAUAAAUAAAAAGCCCUUGAAGGCAUAGAGAAAACACAGCCAAAUAGAUAAAAGAAAAAAAAUUCAUUGUAAUUCUUAUUAAAUAGUGAAGAUUGUUGUUUUGACAUCUCAUUGCCAUAGGUCAAAUACUGAACCACGUAAAUUAUCUAUGUUUUAUUUUUCGUAUCACCCAUUUAUUUAAUUUUUUAGUUGGCCGAAAACAAGUGUCAACAUAUGAUAUUAUGAAAUUGAAUGGCCAGGAGAAGCCACGAACAAAAUUGUACAAAACAUUAUCGCGUAGUCCACCCUUCUGAAGGCAGCCACUAGGAGUGGGCAAAUAACCCAACCCGACCCAAUAGUUCGGAUCAAAUUCAGAUGAAGGUUCUAACCCAAUUGGGUUUGACCCAAUCCGAUCUGAAAAAAUCAAAGCCAAAAUAAGCAUAAAUCUCCGAUCCAAUCAGAUUCGAUCCGAAUAUGUUCGAGUUGAGUUCGGGUUAUAUUUUUCCCAACCUGAUUAACCUAAAAUCCGAUUGGGUUGAUUCGAACCCGAUCCAAACCCGAAUUUGCCCAGCCCUAGUAGUCAUCUCUAAUUUUAGUGAUGUAUUGAAUAAAUAUAUAAUCCAUCCGAGGUAUGGCCGCAUUUAUCUCUCUCUCUCUCUCUCUCUCUCCCUCUCUCUCCCUCUCUGUGUAUCCUUUUGGCAUGCCCCAAUAACAAUUUAAGAUCUUCAAGAUGAUUUUUCAUGAAUGUAUCCAACAUUAAUUAUAAUAAUCCUGCACAGUGAACCCAGAGAAUUAAGCUAAUUUAUUAACGUAGCCGUGCCUCAAAAUUGUAUAGCCAAAAACUUAUUAAAUAGUACUGCCUCUGGUGGUUAGCAAUUAACAUCAUUUUUAACUUUUAUGCAAUAUCAAUACCUCUUUCAUGUUAAUAUAUUGGCUUAAAUCUUUUUAGCCAGCAAAAUGAGAAUAGCCAAAGCCAAUAAAAUAAAAGUAGCCAAAUAAGCUUCAUUUUGAAGACUAAAAAGAAGAGAUAAACAAGUCGGAUGUUCCCAAGUCCUAGUAUUAUUAACUAUAUAUUUAGUUUAUCCAACUUUAUCCCAAAGGGUGCAUGGGGUAAGAUUUCCUUUCUCCACGCAAUAGAUUAAUUGGUGGGCCGCAAAACCCAUUUUGGGUUUGCUCUGAUAGUUCCAUAUAAUUGAUGGACUCAGCUUAAUUAUGCGUUCCGAAAAUUGGAAUUUUAUCUUUCUCAGAGUGCAUUGACGAAUAUAAUUAAUUUACUAUAAGCGAGCAAGUACUAGUAGCAAAAAACUUUAUAUAGCCGACCUUAUUAUAAAGUAAAAGCAAGUUAAAAAGGGAAAAAAAAGCUAAUUACAAAUAAAUUAUAAAAGAAAAGUUAAACAAUUUCCGUAAGUUUAUAGGAUUUUUGCUGCUGAUCUGGUUCUUUUGCUGUAGUAGUAGUAGGUAGGCUUCGGAUCCAAUUCAAGGUAUCAGCAUCGAUUCUAGUACAAGCAGCUGUAUGAGACUUAUUUGGAGAUGGGAGACGGCAAAAGUUACAGAAAGAAUUAAAAUGAAAAGGCAUCGUUCAGUUCAUUUUAUCUCUUAUUAAGGUCAGAUCAUGAAAGGUUCUGAACUGCUGAACGAUGCCGUAUGGCUGCUGGGUUGACGUUAGGGUCACUGAUUGGGAGAGGCGGUGAGGGUGAAUGAGGAGCCAGUCGAUAUGACUCACAUGCAUGGCUGGACUUUCCCACGUCCACCUGUAUAUACGGUCAAGUUACUUUCACAAAUUAAAAGAGCCUAUAAUCUGAUAUAAUUAGGUGUAAUUAUUGCCUCAAUGCAAAAUCUAUGAUAUUACCAAUUGGAAAAUGCUAGUUGCCCCGGGUCAAACCACUAAAGUUAUACAAAACGACACCACUUUGAUUUUUUUUUUUUUUUUUGCUUCUCCAUAAAAUGUUGUUGUUUGACCCAGGCAAAAGCAAACGUCUUCCUCUCCUCUUUGUUUCACAGGGAACGACAUAACCCACGUCUUCCUCUCCUCUUCGUUUCACCAACGAAUGACAUAACUCAAAACACAAUUUCAUACAAACAUGACAACAAAAAUGAGACAGAUCAAGUUCUCCAAUAAAAAUUCAGACCUCGAAAAAUUCAAUAAAAUUUGAAGUUUCGAAAACAAAAUGCUUCCAAAAGAAGAUAGUACCUUAGCUUGUGCAAAGCCACGUAUAAUCGAAACUGAAAUUCGUAAAUGCUGAAACUUAAUCUUAUGUCAGAAAAAUUUCAUAGCUGCUGUUAAUGCCGAAACUCAUCUUUCAGGGACAAUGUCGAGACUCAUCCUUGUUCAAGCUUUUGCUUUUGCCUUGUCUGAGCCAAAUCCUAUCAACUCCGAGGACGAUAAAAGCUUAAGGAUUCUGCAUUUCGCUCGGGUGUGGUGAAACAAAGAGGAAGAGAAAAGCAGCUGCGUUUUUCUGAGUUGAUAAAACUAGAGGGGACCGGGAAAAAGAAAUAAAAGCAGUUGUUUUUUUGCAUUUUUCUGCUUUUACCUAGGUGAAACGGUAAUGUUUAUGGAGAAGCAAAAAGAAAAAAAAAAAUCAAACGGCAUCGUUUUGGUUUAGCUUUCGGGAUUUGACUCGGGGUAAAUAGUAGGACUCCAACCAACUUAUGAUUAUUAAAAAGUUCUUGAUGACAAGUUUCAUGGGCUAUGCACUAUACUUUGGUAUUGUUGCAUUUGCACUGAACUUAUUUUUCGACCCAGUGAUUAAUGUGAAAUAAAUAAUUGAUAAUGAAGGAAAAAAUUUAUUGCCUAAUCUACUAAUCAAAUAAAUCCAAACUCCUUCAAGGAUUUAUCCCCUAAUUUUUACCUCGUGAAUUGAAGAACUGUUGUAAUGGGUUAUUUAAUUAAUGUUUGUUAUUAAUUGAUUUUUUUAGCUCUACAUAGUUCGCUGCAAAACUAAUUUGAACCGAAUUUCAUAGCAAAAGAAUUUUCAGAGAUAUAAAACGAUUUGAGUGAUUCUUUUUUUUUUUUUCGGUUUUGGACUAAAGGUUACCCAAAUCUCUCUAAUGUUCUGAUACCUUCAUCAAGAUUGAUGACAUUACAAUACUUUUAUCAAAGUAUACAUCUCCCACGAGUUUGCUAAAGUUUUAUUUUUCGUGGUUAAACUCCAUUAUAGAUUUUUAUAUGAAUCCAUUUUCCAUAGGACCCUUUUGACUCUUCCAGCUAUUGUGUGAUUAUUGCCUCGAUGCCCUCGAUGUUUACCAUGGGAUGGACCUUAUUGCGUAUCUUCACUUUCAAUGUGUGAGCCUGAAAAAUCUCAUCAACUUAAAGUUUACAGCAUAUAUAACAACAAUCCUCAACAAAACACCAAUAUAAAAUACUAUACAAUAAACAGCAAAUUUCGGAUUCAUAAUUUGGUAGAAGACAUAAAAAUGUACCCAUACUCGUUGAUUCUAACUUAUAACAAGCAUAACAGUGCUUUAAAUAAUAAUCAACAAUCAUUAACCAAGAUGUUUCGCUACUUUAAAUUUUCAAAACUCAAAAGGAAACGAGCAGUUCGUAAAUUUUUUAACGCGAUAAAGAAAUAUUUAUUUGAUUUUAUUUAACUGAAAAGUUAGAGAGCUAAAUAAAAUGCCACGUUGGAUGUUGAUCAUUGGGUGUACUCAAGAUGGUUGAUGGUGUGAAUUGAGACAAAUACAGGUCAAGGAGAUCCCGUCCUCUUGUUUGACCGGCGGGAGUGGGGCAAUUGCCUGCAAAUGCAUACGAUCAUAACAAUUGAUCUUAAUUUUUCACAUAAAAAAAUCCAAGUCAUAAUUAGACUUCCAAUCAUUACUUAGUAUAAAAUGAAUAAUUAUCACUUGUUUGUACAUGGGAGUGCAUGCAUAUGGUUAAACUACCAUGAGUGGGAUAGCCAGAAUGAAAGACAUUACAAGAAUCAAUCUGAGCUUUGUAUAGUUGCUACGACUCAGAACAUUUGGUAAGGUACAGGUGGGUGAAUGUAAUAAGCCACUUCUUUCAUAUUCAUCAUUGAUUGCUCUUGUUUUGUAUGGAUGUGCAUGCAUAUUAUUAAACUACCGUGAGUUUGAAUCACAGGGCUGAAGGAUACUCCAAGAACUAAUCUAAAAGUUGAUUGCUAUAUUUGAUAUUUCACUUGGAACAAUUGGUAAAAUAUGCGAAAGUAAUAAAGUGGUGAAAAAUGAAUGGUAAUAAGCCACAUGCAAUCUCAAUUAAUAAGUUAUAUAUAAGGAUAAGAUUCUAUAAAUUGUCGAAGUUAGGAUAAGUAAAUAAUUAAAGAAUCUUCCGACAUGAUAAUUACUGUUAUCUCAUUAAUACUCAACAACCUCCAACGAUCUUAUCAAUUUCACCUUUUCACGACCCUGUCAAUCACACCUUUUCAGAGUAUUACUUUCAGUCAAAACACCAAUCAAAUGCGAACAACAAAAACUAUAUCUAUACUUUUAUGAGAUAUACCCACGAUCUUUCCCUAAAUGCUUCAACAACCCAAUUCACUUUCAUUAUUUACUUGGAUGAAGGCAUAAGAAUCUAGCUCUCACUGAAUGUGUGUGCGCGUAUUAAACAGUUGUCUCUGAAUUUAUAUGAAGCCAUUUCCAUUACAUUCAUUAGUGAUUGCUCCUGUUUAGGUACAAAUGUAUAUAUAUAUAUAUAUAUAUUUGUGUGUGUGUGUGUGUGUGUGUGAUAAACCAGAUUAACGGAGACUAUAAGAAAUAAUUAAUACCUGAGGGAUAAAAGUCAGUCCAUGGGGAAAAGUUGACGUCAAUUACUUGUCCAAAUUGAGGACGUUGCAUAUCAUUAUUGUCGUCCUCUAAACCAUCUCUUCGGCUUAUUUGACCAUCAAUAUUCAUAUUGUGUCCCCGGAACAUAUUUAAAGGUGGCACCAAUAUUUCUGUUGCCUCUUGAGGCUCAUCUCUGCAAAGCGGAAUUGAAAUUAAUUGCAUAAAAAGGCAGUGAAGCAUUGUAAUAGUAUGUUUUUAAACCAAUUCCAGAAGAAAAGAAUAUAUAUAUAUAUAUAAGAAUGAAGCACCUAAGGGGAAGGAGGCCAUUUGAAUCCAAAAUGUUAAGAUUAUGAACUUGUGAGUCUCUAUGUGGAAGCCAUUCCAAGAUAUUGUUUGGACUUUCUGUAACAAAUCCGUUCAUAUGAUCUGACGUUUCGGCUGGAGGAAGGUGUGCCUAGUUGCAUUGGCAGCAACUAACUUCAUGUUAUGUUACCAUUAUUAUGAAAGCAUACAUCAUUUCAGAUACAUACCUGCGAAGUAGCUGGCGUGCUAGACGAAUUACAAUUUUCCUCCAAAAGAUGCUGCUACAAAUUUCAUAAGCUCCAAUCACAUAUAUAUUUAUGUUCUCCAGCCAAAAUAUAAUUCAAACGAGGAGUUAUAUAUUUAUAUCUUAAAUCUUAAUCGCACCUUGCGUAUGCGAACUUGUUUCAAAGUUUCCUCCAGGAUUUGCUCCCGGUGCUUGAUCUCGUACAAUGUUGUCAUUUCAGACGGAUCUUCCUCAAAUAUCCUGGAAAUUUUUAUGCAUAUUAAGGUUAGGAUUUCUAAAUUGAAACUGUGCAAAGAUUAGGGAAUAUAUAUACCUGAGACGUUUCUCCAUGUUCUGUAUUUGGGAUUUACACUUGACGAUUUCUUGUUGAACUUCCUGAAUUUUGGAUGAAGUGGGUUUCAUCAUAAUAACUAAACAGCCGCAGAUAAACGAUUACAGAUAGCUGGAUGGAACUAGAUUUUCAUUCUUAAAAUACCUCAAGGUGAGAAUCAGUAUUCGUAGUUGGGUUGCUUUGCAUAAAGAAAAAGGAAGGUUAGAAAGUGGAGGCAGAAAUAAAAGUUGCAUCAAGAGGAGGGGCAGAAUCCGAACCUCGUUGCUUGAUAAGUUUGGUUGGCCUCACUUCUUAACUUGCCGAGAGCCCUUUGUAGAAACUGCAAAUAAAGUGCAAUUACUGGAUCAUCAUCUCGUACAAAUUCAUACGGCAGGCUUUAAAUUAGAUCAGACACUGACAAGGUUCCUGGCUUACCUCUUGAUUACGCAGUCUUCAAGACAGAGAUGCAUGUAUAGCACCAAAUCAAGGAGAAGAACAUGCAUCAGAACAAAUUAACUGAAUAAAUUGAAACCAGAUAUAUGUGAGAUACCCCAAGUACUUACCGUCCUCGCUCAUGUUCGGGAAGAUUGACAUACCUUGCCAGAAUCUCCUCCAUGCUUUUUAACAAUUAAUACACCAAAAAGAAGCUAUUUUAGGUUAGUUAAAAAAAAAUUAUAUUUCUGAAAUGAUGAAGUGGGUGUCGAGCUCACCUUUUGUUUCCAGAGAAGAGGCUGACUCUUCCAGAAGGGGAGAACAUGAUGAGAGCCACAUCAACAUCACAGAGGACAGAAAGUUCAUAAGCUUUCUUGACAAGCCCAUUUCUCCUUUUUGAGAAAGUGACCUGCCUAUUUGUUGUGUUCUCAAUCCUCUUGAUCUGCACCUUCACUCUUCCCAUAUCUCUUUCUUGUUUUAGCAAAAUCUAUGGUCUAUACGCUUGAAUUAAUUUCAAUUUUCAAGAUGACACAAUAGCUAGUGAGGAAAAGGUACACAAAUAAAUCUUGAACUCUCCGCAUAUAUACGCGCUCAAACACACACACACACACACAAGAGAUUAUAUUUAGUGAGAAAAUAAGGGAGCAAAGAAGGAAGAAAAACGUGAUGUACUCUUGUCACCAUCAGGCGAAUUAAAGAAGAUGACAUGAGAGAGAAAGCGGUGUAUGGCGGAAUCUGGGUUACCAGGAGCGGCGUUGAAUGUAUAAACAUAAGUGUCAAAAUAUAUAAAUAGAGAGAGAGAGAUGAGAUGAUUCGUGAAUGUUUUUCUUUUCUUUGCUUUAUUAGCAUUUAUUUCUCCUUUAUACUAUUAGAGUCGAUUAGGCACACUAUAUUAUCAUCACAUUAGGACUUGCGUAAUCUCGUAUAUCCUCAAAUUGGGAAGUUGAAUCAACAGCGGCACUAAUACUUCAUGACUUAUCUUGAACUCUUCAACCAAUUUGUGAAAAAUUUCGAGUAUAUUUUUAAUUCCUUUCAUUCGAUUCUUAAUUUCAUGUGAACUCUGUAACUAAUCAUGCAUGCAACCAAAUGCUUGUUUCUAGAAAGAUCUUUUAGUCAAAAUAUCAGUAAGUUAUUCUACUUAAACAUGAGUGGAGCUGAACUGGAAAGAGUUUGAAUGUUGUCAAAUUAAAUAUCAGUAAUGAUAUACUUAAAAUACAUGGAGCAGGUUUCAAAUGCCUAAAUUAAUAAAAAUACAUUUUAAUAUAGUCAAAAUAUCUGUAAGGUCAUUUUAUCUUAAACAGAGUAGGAUUGAGAUGUUAAAAUUACUAAAAUAGUGUAGAUCAUAACUUUUUAGAUUAUUGAAAAGACAUAAAUAUCUCUAUUUUAAAAUAUAAUAGGAUUGAAGUACCAAAAUUAUUGAGAAGACAUUUUAGUAUAGUUAAAAUAUUAAUUAAUAACCUUACUUUUACCUUAAACAAAGUAGGUAAAUUGAGAAAGUCUAACCUGUCUAAACUAUUGAAAGAUUUAAAUAUCUCAAUCAUUAUAUUUAAAAGUCUCAAAUAAGGAAAUGCUUGUGAAAAUCAAAGGUAUAUAUACAAUAAGCCAAGAAACCAACAGAAUCACGAUUUAUUAAGCACAGAGAGAAUGUAUGUCGCAGCUAAUCCCAAAAAAGGAUUAUCACAUUUGCAUUUGCAUCCUCAAAAUGAACAUAGAUAAUUAGAUUUCAAAUAGGUAAUACCAAAAAUCGAUGCCAAAUUCGAAAUCUCACAAAAGGGUAGGUGUUGAAUCUUGAACCAGUUGUAUAUACAUACAUAAUGGAGCGAUUCAUGCAUAGCACGGAUCCUAGAGGAGUGAAGAGACACAGAUAAGAAGUUGAGAACAAGAACAAGCAAAUAAGUUGUCUUUUUCAAUUUGUUGUGUUCGAGGUUAACAAGAGAUGCGGCUGGGAGUGGAGUGGGUCGGUCCCAGAAAGCACGUGGGUUUUGUACUUUCAGUUAUGUCUUCCUCGAUUGACUACCCCACCGACCUCUGAAGUUAAAGCUACAAAUCGCAACGUGUCAUUAACUUCUCGUUUCCUUCGAACUCGAACCCAUCGAUUCUGCAUGCUCUCACUCCCCCAAGGACAGCAAACACAAAGGGCUCCACCAGCUUCACUGAGGUUCUUGUUUCGCUCGUAAUCUUGUGCUCUCUUCUCUUAUCGGUUUUGUUGCUUGUGCUGUUAUGCAACUAAUUAUGCAUUUUACCAGAGUUCCACAUAUAUCAGGAGAUUCAAGAUAUGCAUAAUCCUUCUUCCAUGAGAUUCCCAGAGCAGAGAGCUAAGAAACAUGUACUAAACCUUGAAAUCCCAUUUUCCUUUUAUUCCAUUUUCCAAUUCAUUAUUUACUGAAGUGAUCUGAAGCGGAGUAAAAGAAACUCACUUGUCUUGCUAUUGUUAUUUGGGCUCGUGUAAAGCUGGGUCUAACGAGAAGCUUUUGUAUCGGCUGGGUACCGUUUUGUUACAAAUAUAUUAUGCUAAAAAUGAUAAUAGUAAUAAAUACUCGAUCGGAUAUUUAAAAGGCCAAGAAGAAGAUCAACGUGAAUGAAAGAUGUGAAAACAAUUGGUGUAUUACGUUUAGCGACGGAGGUUUUAAAAUGAGUAAGGAACUCUGGAUAGUGUGUAACAAACUUACACGCACCUAAAUGGAUCCAAUAAUAGGUUGCCACCUCAUGAAGACUGUAUAAGCAUAAAUGAAUUGGAUUUUCUUUCUCCUUCCACCACCCCUUGUUGUUUUAUAAUAAUACCAUCCCAUUUAGUAAAUUAAUUAAUUAAUUAAUUUGUAAUUCUGUCUUAAUUUCAUUUUCCCCGUAAUUAUUAUCUUUAAUGUUCUGUAGUCUGAUUGCCUGAAAUUUCGCUCCAUUUCCUCUCACUUUCCUUUUUCCUUUCCAGUCAUUUCUUAUCCUCUUUCCCCCCUUUUUUUUUCCUAUUAUGUGCAAACAUUACUGCUGCUAUUCUUCUCAAAUAAUAAUAAUAAUAAUAAAAGAAAAAGACAAACAAGACGGUCAAUUGUUUUCCUUGUUUUAUUUUGAUAACAAGGAUUACUACGGAAUUGUGUAAAUUAUUAUUUUUAUUGCACAUAAACCAAUAAGGGAAAUGGAAUUAUCAUAACUCAUGAUUAAUGUUUUAUUUGGUAUUGAGAUAUUAUACCUUUUUUCUAUUGAGAAAGAAUUGUAACUGUGAAAUAAAAAUUAUUAUUGUGUAGUAAGUAUGACCUUAUAUAAUAAUUGUAAUAAAAACAUUAAAGAUGCUACUAGGGAUGACAAUUUUUCCCAAUGGGAUGAGAUUGAGACAUAUUUUUGUUCCAUAAAAAAAUUUAGGGACGGGAUUAGAACAUUUUUUUUAUCCCAAUUACAUAUGCGGGACGGGAGUGGGAUUGACAAAUUUCGUCCCAUCCCGUCUCAUUAUCGAUUAAGAAUAGAAAAUUUUUCAAUUGGGAUGGAAUCCCGCAGGAUCCCAUCUCUUUUGGGACGGGAUUGAGACAUAUUUUUAUCCCAAAAAAAAUAUAGGGACGGGAUUGAGACGUUUUUUGAUCUCAUUUGCAUAUACGGGAUGGAACUGGGAUUGGUAAAUCCCAUCCCAUCCCGUCCUAUUGCCAACCCUAGAUGUUACAGGUUUUUCAUUAUAAUAGUAGUUGAUUAAAUCAACUUAACUCCUAAAAUACAAUAAUUAAUGUUUACAAAAUAUUUUAAUACUAUAAUUUUUAAAAUAACGACCAAAACUCAAUAUCGAACUCCAAAAUUAAAAAAUGUAUGGCAACUGGCUGGGCCAAGAUUGAAAUUUUACGGCCCAUAAUAAUUCUUCUUUCUUGUCCUUGAUGGUUUGAUAUCCGAAACUUGUCCCUAAAAAUGAAACCGCUUCUUUCAUAUUCAUCAUUGAUGGCUCUUGACAGUAGGAAUCUGCAUGCAUAUGACUGAACUACUGAUGAAGAGCAAGAAAUUGAAGAAAUCCUAAUUAUAUUUAAAUGUAUAAUAUUUAGGAAUAUUUUAAUUAAUUUGUAUUCUAGUUUAAUUUGGUUUCUUAUUUAGAGUCUUAUUGUUUAGGUAUUGCUUAUUUGGGUAAUAUUCCUAAUUUAGGCAUAAGUCUUAUUAAAAUAGGUUUUCUAAUCAUAUUACGAUAAGUCUUAUUUAGUAUAAAUAAGUGUCUUUUGUAGCUUUUACAAGCAGAGAAUUUUGAGUUCAAUAAUAUUUCAAUUUUCAAAUCUCUUUGUGAGUAUUUGAAUAGUUAAUUCUCAGUAUUCUGAAUCAACGAGUCUUAACCCCUAAGUUCGCGGUAUUCUUUUGAAUCAACGUGAAUUUAGUUGUUCUUUUAUUCCGGUAUUCUCUAGAAUCAACGGAAUAUUUUGAACAUUAAACUUCCGCUGCAUCAGCUUGGUAUCAGAGCCAAAACCUGGUAUUACUCAUCUAAUCCCAUCUACCACCAAACGUUUCCUUUCUCCUUUUUGUUUUUUUCCAUUUAGUUAAAAAAAAAAAAAAACCCAAACAACACCAAAAAAGCAUAGGAAAAAAAAAGAAAAAAAUUAUAUCAUGAUAUCACAACAUCGACGUGAAGAUUUCAUCUUGAGAGAUGUUUUAGUUAAGAUGUUGAGGAUUUUGCGUUCAAUUUCUCAAGAUUUAGAGAAAAUUCGAGAUAGAAAAUCUUUACACAUAAAGCAUGCAUAUGGAUUUGAUGACGUUGUUCACGAUGAUGGUUGUUAUGAAGAUAAUGAGGAAAAUAGUAACUUUGUUCCUUUCGAUAAUAUUAUUCCUUCCGAGGAGAAUAUUAAUUGGCCAUUCAUGUCUACAACAAAUCCUCAACACAAAGACAUUGAUUUGGAUCAAUCUCCGAAAUUUGAUGAGUAUCUUGAUAUUGUGGGACGAAAAGAGGUAAUUGUUCAUCAAUCUUUUGAUAUUGUGGAGGAGAGAGAGAUAGUUAUUGAUACAAUCUCUUAUUGUUCUCUUGAUUUGCCGAAAGAAGACAAAAAGAGUUGUGAUAUUUUUCAACAGUUAGUGGAUUAUAAGAAAAAAUCGUUUUUCCUUAACUAUGUUGAAGUUCGACACGAACAAUAUGAGAAGACAUUAUUGGAGAAGUUGUUGAUAGAAGAAUUUAUUUUACGCCAUUGGAGUGAUUGGAUGGACGUUAUUACAAAAGUUGGAAAAUUUAAAGUUCGUCGUCUAUGUCAAAGCUCUGUUUUAAAAAUUAAUCCUUAUGCACAUGAAGAUGUUCUUGAAGAUUACAAUAUACAAGAUUCGAGGACGAAUUUUCUCCAACCUGGCGGGAAUGAUGCAGAGCAAGAAAUUGAAGAAAUCCUAAUUAUAUUUAAAUGUAUAAUAUUUAGGAAUAUUUUAAUUAAUUUGUAUUCUAGUUUAAUUUGGUUUCCUAUUUAGAGUCUUAUUGUUUAGGUAUUGCUUAUUUGGGUAAUAUUCCUAAUUUAGGCAUAAGUCUUAUUAAAAUAGGUUUUCUAAUCAUAUUAGGAUAAGUCUUAUUUAGUAUAAAUAAGUGUCUUUUGUAGCUUUUACAAGUAGAGAAUUUUGAGUUCAAUAAUAUUUCAAUUUUCAAAUCUCUUUGUGAGUAUUUGAAUAGUUAAUUCUCGGUAUUCUGAAUCAACGUAACCCCUAAGUUCGCGGUAUUCUUUUGAAUCAACGUGAAUUUAGUUGUUCUUUUAUUCCGGUAUUCUCUAGAAUCAACGGAAUAUUUUGAACAUUUAACUUCCGCUGCAUCAACUACCGUGAGUUGAAAAUAACAAGAUAAUGAAGCAAUAGAGCAUGAGUUGUUGCAGGCAUUGAAGCAAUUUUUGGUGACGUAAAAAUGCCAUGAUUUCUCAACCUCAUUGCUAUACCUUGUAACAAUACAUGCUCUAUUGCUUAGCCAACAAUUUAAUAAGGUUUGAAUUGUACUAAUGCCAAAAAUUGAUGCAAAAUUUCGAAAUCUUAAGAGUUAUUGAAGCUUUUCUAUUUUCAUGCACUGAUACAUGCAUAUAUCUUGAGGAUUAUGAGGACUUGGAUAAUUAGAAUAAUUUAAAGAAUUAUAAAAUGAAAGAAGAUGUAAUCACCGAUAGAUGGUGCGUUUGGGAUUGAGGUGCUGCAACUUUUAAGCUGUUGUGGAAAAAAAAACUGUAACUAUGAAAUAAAAGUUAAUAAUAUGUAAUAAAUAUAAAUUUAAAAUAAUAAUUUUAACAAAAUUAUUAAAGAUAUAAUAGAUUUUUCAUUAUACAAGUGAAAAAUCAUAUUAAUAUAUCUUCCAAACUACAGCAGUUAGUGUUUACCAAAUAUUUUAGUGCUGUAUCUUUUAAGUUACAGCUACCCAACCUCAAUCCCAAACGCACCCAGAAUCACAACUAACUAAUUUAAUAAAUGGGGUAGAAGCAGUAUACAACAAGUGGGUUGGAUUUAAACACCGCCUUAAAUUAUGAUGGGCCGUAAGGCCCUUCGUGAUGGGCUUUAAAUCCAUGACAAUGAAAGAAUAAGAGUGGAGCUCCCGGCACCCAUCAACAACUCUAAAUGAAGCUCCCACUUCUACUUGUGUAGCUCUACCUUUUAUUUGAAAUUUUGAAAAGGACAAAAAUACUUCUAAUUAAAUUACACAUAAUUUCUUUUUUUUUCCUUAAAAAUAAUGACAGACAUGAAAAGAAAUAUCAAAACCUAAAUUAAGAUAAUAGAUCUUUAAUUAAAUUCUAUUAUCAUCUAGAAGAAAUUAAUUUACACAGUAAAUUUACUUUUUUUCGUAAUAAAACUCUUAUCGUUAUAUAAUAUAUUUCAUUAUUGUUUUAAUUUAUUUUGAAUUUAUUAGAAAAAUUUUAGUUUUAUCAUUUUAGGAUUUAACUAUAAAAGGAUUCAUGAUUUGUAAGUAUAAAGACAUAAUUAAAUUCAAAUUUGUCCUCCUUAUAGAAAUUUCUCCAACAAUGAAAUUAUAAUUACAAAAACUAAGGUUUCAUGAGGAUAUUAACGUGGGUGUCAAUAGCAUCACUCAAAACCUUACAUUCAAAUAAACCUAGGAAGAAACUUAUUAUACCUAACGGUCAGAAAAAAAAAAAAAAAAAAAAAGAAAGUUUGUCAUUCAAUCCCCCGCCACCAUUCUCAGCAGAGCUACUGGUUGAGUUGAAGCUACUGAUAGUACUAUGUUUGGCCACACACAUGCUUUAGUAAACCUACUAGUCCUCUCUUCCAAUUUCAAAUCUUCACCGCAAAUUUAGUAAUAUGUUGCUGCCUCUCUCUCUGGCUCUCCUACUCCCUAGUUACCUAGUAGACAUGUUCAGGCCAGUCGUCUUAUCUCCUCCCACUGGGCAUCCUCAGCGGUGGCAUAAAACUUGGGCUCGCCUGCUUGCUCCUCUUACCAUAUGGAUAUGUGGCAUGUAAUUUUGCAUCUUCUGUUGCAAUUCCUCUUGAUGAAGUCAUCACCAUUCAAUCUAACUUUUUUUUUUUUUUUUUCCUUUUUUCCAAAAUUUGCAUGUUGCAGUUUCGGUAAGUCUGCGAUACGGGUACUAUGGAGAUUGCCGCAUGGUGCUUGGACCAGGGUCGUCAAGACUGAUGAAGGCAAGUUCUUUGUUCGUUCGCCAAGUCGAAGUCAGGUCUGGUAGCGAAAAAGGGUUUCUGCUUUAUGGGUUCUCUGAGAAGCCUCAGUUAACUCAUGAAACUAAUUGGACUGUCUCGAACUUUUUGAUGGUUGGAUCUUAUAGUCGCAAGGUGGCAUUUCAAUUUCGUCCUUUGAAUUAAAUUCAGCUACACUACUUCAGCACCUUAGCUUUCUAUAGUUAAAAAUGAUUAAAUUAAUCUUUCAGGGAAUUUCUUUGUGGUUGAACAACGGCUCUGCUAUCCGUAUGAGAUGGGAAACUCGGGGCAGCAAAUUAAAUGAAACCCAAUUGGUCAUAAUUAAAGGUUAGUACGGUUUAUUAAAGUUCUUUGUGGGCUAAACUUGUAUCAUUUGUGAUUUCAUUGUGUGACAAAAUGUACGCAUGUGUCUACUUGCUCUAGGAGAACGAGAAUUUCAGACAUUACUGCCAAAAUUUACAAGUUCCUCUGAUCCCCCAGCUCUGACCGAUCCCAUCGACGGUAUGAUUUUUGUUUCUCUUGUCUCCUCUUUUCAAAUGAAUAAAAAAUCGAAAAUAGGACGCGCCAGAUAGGGGUCGAACCUAUGACCUUCUGCUUAGGAAACAGACGCUCUAUCCACUGAGCUACAGGCGCUCUGUUGAAAACCUUGCAUACUUAAGAGAUUAUAUCUGAUUUAAUCUCAGUAUACUUAAUUUUUUAUUUUUCAGGUAAAAAUGCAGAAUACGAUGUUGAGGAAGACGACAUGUACUAUUUUGGUGUCACAAACAAGAAUCCUCGAAGCAUAACAAUGACAAUGAAUGUAAAUGUCACAUCGAAAAUAUAUGAUCUGACAAAAGCGAAGAACAUGUGCUCAUCGUCAAACGGAUCUUGCCGGCUCAAACUCUUGUUUCCCAAUAGUCAAUAUGUCAUACUUACAACACCCAGCAAUGUAAGCGGCCCUCAUUCUUUUCCCACCUUUGUACCGUGCUCAACAAGUUAACCAAUUCCCUGAGGGCUGAGACUUGAAUCGGCCUCAAUCAAUAGUAAUUUAUUCAAUUGCAGGGAGAUCUAGAUGGCUGGCACGUUGAGGUAUCAUUUGCGGCUCGUUUGAUAAUUUACAUUGCAAUUUUAGGUACGAUAUCAUUCAUAAAACUCAUUUGAUGAUUCUUCUUUUUACAACAUCUUUUCACACCCACUCUCAUUAACCGGAUUUUAAUUCGUGCUGUCUUUAGGAUUUAUCACCUUGAUUAUCUUUCUGGUAUCAAAAUACCUUGGAGCCUGUGAUGGUAAUAGUGACAACACAGAUAGCACAGCAGCUAGAGAAGUAACUGAGACUGACCCUCUAGUCCACGAGAAGCCAGUUCAAUUCACCUAUGGAACAACCAAUAAUGACGAAGACGAUGAUGCAGGAUUUUCUAGUACCUCUUCAGAUGAUCUCUAUGACGCAAAAUUAUGUGUAAUUUGUUACGACGAUCAACGAAACUGCUUCUUCGUUCCAUGUGGCCAUUGUGCAACAUGUUAUGACUGUGGUCAGAGGUAUACGUUAAAAAUCGACCUUAAUGUUUAUUCUCAUGAGACAUAGUAAAUCUGUGUUAGCGACUUUAUUGAUGAAUUGUUUUAAUUUGCAGGAUUAUGAAGGAUGAUAGCAAGGUGUGUCCAAUAUGUCGUACGCUUAUUCAUAAGGUUAGAAGAUUGUUUACCCCUUAGAGGUAAACUGAGGUAGGAAAACUUGUGUGAUUACAUAAGAGAAAGAUAUUUUAUGUGUAUAGGGAGUAAUAGAUCUUGCUUUCUCGGUUAGGAUAAGUGAGUGCUUUAAUUGUUUGCACUUCGAAUCCAUGGCUUAGCUUCUUAAUGUGCUGCAAGAUAUUUGCUCCUCGGAUUAAGCUACAAGGUCAUGGAAGCAUGAACACAUAAGGCUGAAUUUCUUGUUAGCACGAGCAAAAAUACAAUUCCUUAGAAGUCUGUUUAUGCCGAAAAUGGCUGAAUCACGUUGCCUGUUAAUGACUUAUCUUUCUUAUCAAAUUGUACUCGGAGAGAAUAAUAUUAACCAUGAACAUGAAAACGAACCUUACUUCUUCUAAUCCCCUGAUUUGUUCUGUUAACUCCAAGUAUUUACCUUAAGGUAAGUAAUUUCUCUUUGUUCAUUUGGGAAGUAAUAUGGAAUUUAGGUUAAGAGUAAUUGUAUAUAAAGUGAAAAGGAUGUGAUUGAUUAGAGUUGAAAGUUUUUGGGUAAUUGAGAAAUAUUGGUUAAAGGGAGGAAGCAUGAAGUUUAUUGCUAAAGAGCUUCAGAUGUUUUCAUUACUUAUACAACGGUCCACAACAUACAUUUAUUGGCAUUUUGACCUACAUUAUUGCCACCGUGCUAACUUUAGAGGUAUGAGAAAUUCUAGAAGUAAAUUAUAACAUGUAUGUAUUUAUUUUGAAAAAUUAUCAUGUAAGUAAUAGUUAAAUUUAAUUUAAUUACAUAUGUUAUAUAUGUAUUAUUUAGUUGUAUUAUUUAUGAUGUAUUCUAAAAUUCUUCUAGAGACAUAGGUUUGCGUCUUGUCUUUACGUUGACACUAAUGUUGUCUCUCCCAAUUAUAUAAUUGAAUAGAGAUAAAUAUUUUUCAAUAAAUAUAAGUGGAGUUGUUAUAUCCCUAUAAUAUUAGUAGAUUAAAUAUAUGCUAAUAUGAGAAUAAAAAUUUAUGUUAUUUGGAUACCGUAAUCGAACUUAUAAUAUGAAUUUUUAUUAUUUUAAAAAAGUACACCUACAUUCCCAAAAUUUAGAGUUGGCGGCCACUGGAUCUGUAAGUUACGUGAUCCGUAACUUAACCAACUCUAACAAGGAGCUUGUUCAAGUUUUCAACGCCUUUGGAAAGAAGAAACUUUGGUGACAGGACGAUAAUUUCACUUUCUUUUUUUUUUACCACGAGGUAUUUUAGGAAGGGCCACAAUUGUAGGAGAUACUUUUAGCCCGUACUACAAUUCAGUUUAGAAGUUCCUGCUCGAAUCGAGAGGUACAGUUUCUCUCAAUAAAUAUGAUUUUCCUGCGACUCGAACUGAGGAGUAAACCCAAUCAAGCCACUUAAAUGGGACUCUAUUACUAAUAGAGUCAACACUUUGUUGGUAUAAUUUCACUUUUCUAACAAGCGAACAAGCACUUUUAAGUAGAAAUUACUAUAAUUAUCCAAAAUUGAAUACUAUAUUAGAGAAAUAAAUUUCGGAACCAAUCACUUAACGAGCAAAUAAUAUAAAAUUUGUGAAAUUUGAAAUAAUAUCAAAGAGAAAAAGAUUGUUCGAAUUAAAAUUUGUAAAAUGAAAUAAAAAUUAAAUAAUUAAAAAAACGGACGUCGUUGUCAGCCUGUAAAGAUAUUUUAAUAUAUAAUUCAUUUUUUUCUCACAGAUGGAUAUGUAUUAAGAUAUUUUAAUAGAUAAUUCAUUUCUUAUGGAUGGAUAUGUAUUAACAUAUUUUAAUAGAUAAUUCUUUAGUUUCUAGAAAAUUGUAUUAAUUUAGUUUAGAAUAAGUCAAUUUACAAAAAAGUCCCUCCCUAGUUGUAAAAACUACAUAGGUUAUAAUUACUCAUUUUUAAGAGAGAAAUAAACCCAAUAAUUACAGCAGAUUCAAUAUUCAUUAUCUAUCAAAGGUUAUAAAAUUAUAAUUAUAUUAAAAUUCAUUUACGAUAAAGUAUAAAUUUCAGUCAUAUAUAAAAUAAUAAAUAAUAAAUAAUUAUUAUUUAUUAAUUAUUAUUUUAUUUUAUAUGUAGUUGAGAUUCGUGUUCCACCGUUCCUAGACUCCAAACUCGGGUUACAAAAGCUCAGUUAAGGGGCAACAUAUAAUACAAAUUUUAAUGGUCCCUACAUGACGUGUCCUCGUGCCUAGGGGCUGCCAAUAUUAUUGCAUAGUCCAAUUUUCUCCGGUCUCAGGCACGGAGUAGGUACUAAGAUUUGUCAGCAUAUCAGUGUUUGAUUUUGAUGGACUUAAAAGAGGAAAAAUCAAAAGAGUAUUCUUUCUCAAAAGAUUCCAUUGGCUAUGGCAGGUAAACCAAAAUGUGCUCUCUCUCUCUCUCUCUCACCCCAUUCUAAUACCACCAUUCUUAUUCUCCUCCUUGUUCAGACUUCAUACUGCUGAUAGAAUCAUCAAAUCGCAACUAGCGUCGUGAAAAAAAAGAAAAAAAAUCCAUGGAUUCCUUAUUCUACUACUGCUUUCUUAUCCUUUUCUCCUCAUAUUUCCUAACAAAAUAUUUCCUCCAAGUUAACAGAAAUCUCCCACCAAGUCCUGGGGUUUCACUACCCAUAAUAGGCCAUCUCUACUUGUUCAAGAAACCCCUUCAUCGAACCCUGGCUAAACUAUCAAAUCAAUAUGGUCCGAUUCUAUUUACUAGGUUCGGUUCUCGCCCUGUCGUCCUUGUAUCUUCCCCUUCUGCUGCAGAGGAAUGCUUCACCAAAAAUGACAUCAUAUUCGCCAACCGCCCUCGCCUGCUUGCAGGAAAACAUCUUGGUUACAACUACACCACCCUCGUUUGGGCCCCUUAUGGUGACCAUUGGCGCAACUUGCGCCGCAUAGCUUCUCUUGAACUCUUGUCAUCUAAUCGACUGCAGAUGUUUCAUGGCAUCCGCGUUGACGAGGUCAAGCUACUGUCUCAAAGGCUCUUUCGAGGAUCAAAGAGCGGUGAGUACCGGAUUUUUGAUAUGAAGUCUAUGUUUUUUGAGCUAACUCUAAAUGUGGUGAUGCGGAUGAUUGCUGGGAAGCGUUAUUAUGGAGAGAACGUGUCAGGAUCGGAGGAUGCCAGAAGAUUUAAAGCAAUUGUUACUGAGACUUUCCAGUUGAGUGGUGCUACUAAUGUUGUAGAUCUUUUGCCAUUUGUGAAGUGGGUUGGAUUGAGCAAGACUGAAAAGAGGCUAAUGAUACUGCAUGGGAAACGAGAUAAGUUCAUGCAGGAUUUGAUUGAAGAACGUAGAAGACUGAGGUGUGAUUCUGCUUCUGAACAGAGGAGUAGAACUAUGAUUGAUGUGCUACUAUCACUGCAAGAGACUGAGCCUGAAUAUUAUACAGAUCAUAUAAUCAGAGGGAUGAUGCAAGUAAUCUGCUGAUUUGACUUGAAAAUUUUAAUUAAUUAAACUUGUAAUUAAUUUCUCAAUGAAUAAUUUUUUGAAGCAUUAUUGCCUGAUUCUGUUUCCAGGUCCUGCUAGGAGCAGGGUCAGACACUUCGGCUGCAACUAUGGAAUGGGCACUGUCAAGUUUGCUAAACAAUCCAGAGAUCCUUGUACAAGCUCAAUCAGAAAUUGACACAAACGUAGGGCAAAGCCGGCUAAUUGAGGAAUCUGAUCUUACCGCACUUCCAUAUCUCCACGGCGUCAUCAAAGAGACACUCAGGAUGUACCCUGCAGCUCCACUACUAGUUCCUCAUGAAUCGUCCGAGGAGUGCACUAUAGGAGGUUUCAAAGUUCCACGUGGCACAAUGUUGUUGGUGAACUCGUGGGCCAUACAAAAUGAUCCUAGAAUAUGGGAAGAGCCCUCAAAAUUCAAGCCAGAGAGGUUCCGGGAAAUGGCAGGGAAAAGUGAUAAGUAUAUGCUUUUGCCAUUUGGGACAGGGAGGAGAGUGUGUCCUGGAGAAGGCUUGGCGAUGAGGUUGGUUGGGUUGGCAUUAGGUUCAUUGAUUCAGUGCUUUGAGUGGGUGAGAACAGGUGGUGAGUUGGUGGACAUGAGCGAAGGCACUGGGCUUACCAUGCCUAGAGCUCAACCUUUGCUAGCAAUGUGUAGGCCAAGACCCGCGAUGGUGACCCUCCUUUCUCAACUUUGAAUACUCUUGUUUCUUGUGGUGUAAUUGUGUUGACUUUCUUAGUUUUAGCAAUCGAACUGUCAAAUGACAUAUCGGCAAUUCUGCAUUCCCCACGUAAGUUGUUCAAUUCCAUCGUUUCUUAAUUUAUAUUAGUUUCUUUUCGAUUAAGAGGACAUUUUAGAAGGCAAUUUUUUUUUUCCAUAUUAUAUAGUUUUUUUUAGUGAAAACAUUUUGAAGAUGUCAGUCAAAUAAAAAAAAUAUUCAUUUUAAUACAUUAAAGAAUGAAGACGGUAUCUUUUUAUAUUUUUAUUGAUGAUAAUGCCCUUCUAGAAAAUGAUUAUACACACACACAUACUAUUUUUCCGGUCCUCUUCAUCGCCUUAAGAUGUCUCGGGCGGAAAAACCCAAUUCGAUUAUAAUUAUGAUAUUAUUCUCUGACCUAAACUAUGAAUAAUCUGCAUACAUACGUGCCAUCUCCUUAAGAUGUUCUAAUACAAAAUGGAUUCAGUGAGGUCUCUUUAUAAAAAGACCACCCUGCUCGGUAUGUAAAAUCCUGAGACCGAAGCAUAUAAAAAAAGAGAAACUUUUUUCUCUUUAAGUUGUUAUCUCGGCAACUCUUCAUUAUGACUUAAGCAUUGAUGCUGCGUUUACUUUUUGGAUUGGAGUGGGAAUCCUUGGAUUAUGAGUGUGGAGUGGGAGUGAGAGUAAUGUGUUUACUUAGACUAAAUAAAAGUAUGGAUUGUCAAUUAGAAUCCUAAUUAUUUGUUUACUUUGUCUUGGAUUGAGAAUAAAUUAUUUUAAAUUAAAAUUUUAUCCUUAUGUACAGAAUUAUAAUUUGUAAUUAAAAAAUUAAUAAAAAAUAUAUUUAGAAAAUAAAAUAAAUAUUUUAUUAUAUUUAUAAAUUAAUAAUAAUUACUAAUAUUCUUAAUUAUGUAAAUCAUAAUUUUUUAUUAAUUUUAAUUUAAAUUAUGUGAAUAAAAAUUAUUAAUAAUAGCAACACAAAUGAAAUAUUAUUAUUGAUAAUAUAGUACAAAAUUAAUAUUUUUUUAGAAUAAAAUAUUUAUUAUUAUUAAAUAAAUAAUUAAUAUUUAUUAAAAUUAAUGUUUAAUAUUAUUAAUUUAAAUAUAAUAUUUAUUUUUAUUUUAUUAAAUUUAAUAAAAUAAAUAUGAUAUAAUUAUUAUUUUUAAUAAAUAUGAUAUUAUUUAUUUUAUUAAAUAUUAUUUAUUUAUUUAUUUUUAUAAGGAUAAAAUGGGAAGAGGGGGGAGUGGAUUCCCACUCCCACCUCUCCCCAUGGGAGUGGGAAUCCCACUCUCCACUCCAAAAUUGGGUGGGACCCACGGAUUCCCACUCCCACUCUCCCAUUUUUUAAGGUAAGUAAACACUGUAGUGGGAGGAAUCCACACUCCACACUCCCACUCCAGAAAAUAAACACUACCUUAAUGUAUUCACUGGUAACAACGUUGGGGGCCUUACGAUGUCGGUAACAACACUAGUGCCCUUACGAUUUUCUCGUUUUAUCGGCAAGGACGUUAAAUCCAAAACUUGAGAUUUCUUUGGACCAGUGGCCUCAUUGAAUCCCAACCUUUUUAUUGCCUGAUCACUUUAAUCCCGACCUUCUUAUUCCCCAUUCAUUUCAAGGUACAAAUUAUUGGUGUCUAAAAGUAUAUAUGGUUGAUUAAAAAAUCAUCAAAGUUACUUUUUGGUUUCUGGAUCGUAAUUUGUAAGGAACAUUUUAAAAAGGCCGCAACAGGGUUUGUUUUUUAAUUUAAUGACUUAAAGUGACUUAACUUAAUUAAUUAAGUUAAUUAGAGGUAUUUGUUUUUAUAACUUAAUGAAACUUUUUAGAUAAUUUUGACUUAAUAAAAUAAGCUAUUUUUUUUUACUUUUU
rnacentral:lncRNA from 1 species